rnacentral:lncRNA from 1 species
AACAAUGUUUGUUUCAUCCAAAGCAAUUGGGCACAACAACUACACACCGAAACAUAUUCCGCCUCGGCGGUAGAGAGGGCUACGGAGUUUUGUUUCUUGGAUGACCAUGACACAAGGGAUCUACCAAGCAUUUGGCAACUACCAGAUGUGCUCUUUCUAUCCACUUUGCAACCGGCAUAAUCCGAAUCGGAAUAGCCAACAAGCUUAAACUUAGCACCUUUUGGGUACCACAAGCCAAUAGUAGAGGAAUGCUUUAAAUAUCUUAGAAUCCUUUUCAUGGCCACUAAGUGACACUCCUUAGGAGCGGCUUGAAAUCGUGCACACAUGCAAACACUAAACAUGAUAUCCGGCCUAGAUGCGGUAAGGUAAAGCAAGCUACCAAUCAUAGAACGAUAAAGCUUUAAAUCUACCGGUUUACCUCCCUCAUCAAGGUCAAGAUACCCGUUGGUUGCCAUAGGUGUCUUGAUGGGCUUCGCAUCCUCCAAGCCAAACCUCUUGAGUAGAUCCUUGAUGUACUUGGUUUUGCUCACGAACGUCCCAUCCUUGAGUUGCUUAAUUUGAAGUCCAAGGAAGAAGCUCAACUCUCCAAUCAUGGACAUCUCAAAUUCCCUAGACAUCAUAUCACCAAAUUCCUUGCAAAAUACCUCAUUAGUAGAACCGAAUAUGAUGUCAUCAACAUAAAUUUGACACACAAAGAAAUCAUCACCAAUGAUUUUUGUGAAAAGGGUGGUGUCAACUUUUCCAAUUUUGAAAUCCUUUGACAAAAGAAAAUCUCUCAAUCUUUCAUACCAAGCCCUAGGAGCUUGUUUUAAACCAUAAAGAGCUUUUGAGAGUUUGUAAACAUGUUUAGGAUUUUUAGGAUCUUCAAAACCGGGAGGUUAUUCAACAAAGACAAGUUCGGCAAUUUCACCAUUUAGAAAAGCACUUUUCACAUCCAUUUGAAAUAGUUUUAUAUCAAAUCAUGAUGCAAAUGCAAGAAGGAUGCGAAUAGCCUCAAGUCUUGCCACGGGGGCAAAAGUUUCACCGAAGUCCAAACCUUCAACUUGUGUGAAACCUUGUGCCACCAACCUUGCCUUGUUUCUCACCACCAACCCGUUCUCAUCGUGUUUGUUCCUAAAGACCCACUUUGUCCCUAUGACAUUGUGGUCUCUAGGUCUUUCAACCAAAGUCCACACCUUGUUUCUUGCAAAGUUGUUGAGCUCUUCAUGCAUAGCAUUCAUCCAAUCCGGAUCACAAAGAGCUUCAUCUACAUGUUUUGGCUCAAGACAAGAAACAAACGAGUAAUGUUCACAAAUCGAAGCGACACGAGAUCGAGUUUGAACACCCUUACUAAUGUCACCCAACACUUGGUCAAUUGGGUGAUCCUUGGAAAGAGCGGUGUGUAUCCUUGGAGGCAUAGGUGGAUCUUGUGCCUUCUCCUCCUCCACUUCAACUUGAGCUUGACUUGGCGUAGCGGAAGUAGAUGGCUCAUCUUGAGUGGAGGUGGAUGGCUUGUCUUCCACUUCAAUAGGCUUGACAUCUCCAAUAGACAUGUUCUUCAUAGCUCUCAUCAAGCCUUCAUCACAUACAUCAUCCAAAUUCUCGUACCCUUCUUGGGAGCCAUUAGUCUCAUCAAAUUGAACAUCGGCGGUUUCUUCCACAAUACCUUUGUUCUUGUUGUAGACCCGGUAUGCCUUGCUUUUUGAGGCAUAACCUAGAAGAAACCCUUCAUCACACCGACUUUCAAAUUUGGUUAGUCUAACACCCUUUCGGUAAAUAUAACAUUUGCAACCAAAAACUCGAAAAUAGGCAACAUUUGGCUUCCUCCCAACAAUUAGCUCAUAGGAAGUCUUUUUCAAGAGACGAUGCAAAUAAAGCCUAUUGGUUGCAUGGCAAGCGGUGUUUAUGGCUUCCACCCAAAAGAAAUCGGAAACACCAUAUUCAUCAAGCAUAGUCCAUGCCAUCUCAAUCAAUGUACGAUUUUUCCUCUCCAUUACACCAUUUUGUUGGGGUGAGUAGGUAGCGGAAAGUUCGUGUUUGAUACCAAGAUCAUCACAAUAGUCCUCGAUAUUGGUAUUCUUAAACUCGGAACCAUUGUCACUUAUAAUUUUCACAAUAGUGCAAUUAAAUUCAUUUUGGACCCUUUUUGCAAACUUUUUGAAAAGCUCGGCAACAAUAGACUUGUCAUGCAAAAAGAACACCCAAGUAUAGCGAGAAUAAUCAUCAACAAUCACAAGACAAUGACUAUUACCACCAAUGCUCUUAUAGGUUGUUGGGCCAAACAAAUCCAUAUGCAAGAGCUCCAAUGGUCUAGAUGUGGACAUGAUACUUUUAGUAGGAUGAGAACAUGCAACUUGCUUGCCGGCUUGACAAGCACUACAAAGCUUAUCUUUCUCAAACUUCACAUUUUUUAAGCCCACAACUAGAUCACGUUUUGAAAGUUUACUCAAUUGAUUCAUGCCAACAUGGGCUAGCCUCCUAUGCCAAAGCCAACCCAACGAAGUUUUUGCAACUAAACAAGUUUUCAAAUUUGCUUCACUAGAAUUAAAAUCAACCAAAUAAAGAUUUCCAUAUCUAAAACCUUUGAACACACAAGACUUGUCAAGAAGGCUAGAAACAAUAACUUCUUGCGGGAAGAAAGCACAUGACAAGCCAAGAUCACAAAUUUGAGCGACCGAAAGCAAAUUGAAAUUUAGGGAUUUAACAAGAGAGACAUUAUCAAUUGACAAAUCAUUGGAGAUAGCAAUUUUACCUAACCCAAUUACCUUUCCUUUGCUAUUGUCUCCAAAUGUCACUUUCUCUUGUUCAUUCCCUCCUACUUCAAAUGUGGUGAACAUAGCCCUAUCACCGGUCAUGUGUUGAGUGCAUCCACUAUCAAGCACCCAAUGGCUCCCACCGGUGUGGUAGUUCACCUACAAAAGAAGAUCAAGCUCUUUUAGGUACCCAAACUUGUUUGGGUACUUGGAGGUUAGAGACCAAAGCUUUGGGCACCCAAAUGGCAUUCUUUUUUCCACCGAGUAUAGGGUAAUCCACAUAUCUAGCAACAAUGCUUGCAUCAUAAGCCUUCCUAAGCAUAUAAUGAGAAUCAAACAUGCAAGUCUUAGGAGGCUUACCACCGGGGCAAUCAUUCACCAAAUGUCCAACCUCACGACACUUGGAGCAAUACUUACCAUUGCUCUUAACAAAACGAGUGGCACGGUGAGAAGGUUUCUUACCCUUCUUUGGAAUGAAUCCAAGUCCCUCCUUGUUAAGGAUGCACCGUUGCUCACUCAAAAUCUUGUCAAGAGUGUUCUUACCCUUGAAGCACCUCUCCAAGCUCUUGUUGAGCUUAGCCAUUUGCUCCUUAAGCUCAUUCUUCUCAACAACAAGUGAGGCAUCACAAAUAGAAACACAAGAGCUAGAGCUAGAGCUAGACAUAUCCACAAGAUCAUCACAAGAGGUAGAAAUGCUAGAUGAUGCAACAUGAGCAAUAUGGCGAGUAGCACUAUCAUCAAGCAAAUCACAAGAUAUGCCAACAUCAAUGAGAGCUCCAAGUUGAGUAGUGGAAAUGAGGUUGUCAUGAGCUUCCUUAAGCUUCUCAUGAGAAAUGGUGAGUCUCUCAUGAGAAGUCUUUAGCUCCUCAUACAAGACCUCCAAAGAAGCAUGAUCCUUCUUUAGGGCCUUGAACUUGACAAUCUACUUCUCACUAUAAGCAUGGAGCUCCUCAAACAUACUCACAAGCUCAUCAUAGGAAACAUCAUCACAAUCAUCAUCACUCUCACUAUCACUAAGAGAUGUUACCUUGAUGGCAACAACGGCCAUCUUCUUCUUCUUGGAGCUUGCAUCAUCACCACCUUCUUCCUCGGACCCGGAUGAGGCGGAGCUCUCCUCAUUUGAGUCCCAUUCCCCGAUGAAGGCCUCAAUCUUCUUGCCUUCCUUCUUGAGCUUCUUCAUGAGCUUGUAGCCUCCACUCUUCUUCUUGGAUGACUUGUCCCCAUCAUCAUCCUUGGAAGGGCACUUGGAAGCAAAGUGUCCCUUCUCACCACACUCAAAGCACCUCAAGUUGGAGAGAGUCUUGUUGGGUCUUCUAUUUCUUCUCCUAUUGGAGUUGGAGCCCCUUCCUCUCUCCUUUCUCCUUCCCAAGAGAUCAUUGAACCUUCUAGCAAGAAGGGCAAUCUCUUCCUCCAAGUCCUCAUUGGCUUCAUUCACCUUACCCUUGCCCUUGUCUUCAACUUCGGCUUGGAGAGCAAUACACUUCUUGGAAGGUGAGGCUUCCUCCAUCUCCUUCUUCUUCAACUUGUACAUGUCAUUGGUGUUGAUCUUCCCCAAGAGGCUUGCGGGUGUCAUCCUUGACAUAUCGGAAUUGAUGAGCAUGGUGACAAGGGUCUCAUACUUCUCUGGUAGAGCCCUAAGCAUCUUUUGGGCAACCUCAAGAUCGGUGUAGUUUACCCCAAGCCCCUUGAGAUCAUUCACAAUGACAUUGAGCCUCCCAUACAUGUCAUUCACACUCUCAUGAGGCAACAUGGAGAAUGUCUCAUAUUGGAUCUUGAGGAAAUGAAGCUUGGCAUCCUUGUACUCACUUGUGUCCUCAUGGAUCUCCGCCAACUUGUUCCAAAUCUCAUAUGCGGUCUCAAGGUUGCUCACUCUAUCAAACUCCUCUUGGCUCAAAGAGUUGAACAAAGCAUUCAUGGCUUGGGCAUUGAGUUGGAGGUUGCGGUUAUCAAUCUCCGUCAAGGACGUGCCGGUGAUAGCAAAGCCUACAUCCACAAUACUCCAAAUAUGGAAGCUCAUAGCUUUGUGGUGAGUAGACAUUUUAAUUUUCCAAGUGAAAUAGUUUUUGCCAUUAAACAUGGGAGCCUUCCCUACAUGGUUCACCUCGUUCGAUAUCUUCUCUCUAGGCGGUGAAGCCCAAUCAAGAGAGACUAAGCUCUGAUACCACUUGUAGGAUCGAGAUGUCGACUAGAGGAGGGGUGAAUAGGUGAUUUAAAACUAAAUGACACCUAAUCAAAACUAACCUAAGUUGCUAGGCUUGGUGAGGGUCAACUCUAACUAAGCAACUAAGUUAUGUUUUGCAAACCUAGGGUGAUAGUGGCUCAAUUAUAUCUCUACGAAAGUAAAUCACACUCCUAUGUCAAUGUUUAGCAAUCCUAGGUGAUAUGAUCUCAAGUAUGUCUCUAGAAAUGUAAAUUGUACAAAUGUAAAUGCGACAAUCAAAUGAGACAAGGAGACAAGAGAUUUUUCACCGAGGUUGGGAAACUCGCCGGUUUCCUACUCCCCGUUGAGGCGAGCCCAACUCCACUGCUCAACCACGAAGCCACCGCACGCCCAGAAAUUCUCGAAUAGAAUUCCAAGCAGAUUGUGCAUUAAAAUCCCCGUCCAGGACCGGCCGGGGUACACAAACGACAAAGUUGACAUUCAGACCCACGUCUUACAAACAUCAUAAAAGUCUUACAUAAAUGCAGCGGAAAAGCGAAAGACAACCGGAGCUAAGCCUUGACUAGAACUGCAGCGGGAACACCACUCCACAGGCAUCCUCGACGGCACGGACGAAGCCUACUCCUCGGAGAAACCUCCAUCUGACACAUACUCGUACUCUGGGGUUGGGAAAAAUAGAGCAAGACUGAGUACUACCCACUGUACUCAGCAAGUCAUACCGGAAUAGGGGUAUGAUGCAGGGAAUUAUCAAAGGAGAGUUAGAGUGGUUCAUUUGCAUAAAGCGAGCAUUUAUAAACAGAAGUUGAAAGAUUUAAACAGUUGUAGUAAUUAAUUAAUAUUAACUAUCCACUGUCCAAUGCUAUCCCACGUUGCAACAGGCCCAACCAUCCACCUAAACUAUCCAAAUUCAAAAGAUUACACUAGGGUGAGACUAAUCAUGGUGAAUCUGGUUGACCACCCAUAACCGCGGGCUCGGCUAUUUGAAUAGUUUUACUCUGAUCAGAGGUGUACAACUAUACCCACAAGACACAGCCCCACGACACGUUUCCGUGCGCCGACAUGCCACCACGACAUACCGAAAAGAGGCCGUGACAGGACCCUUCGCAUAACCCCCUCUAGCCAAGCACACCACACUUCAGGUUUCACCCCCGUCCCUAGCGGGCAACGGGCAGUCCCCUCUGGUGCCUAGGUGAAUCCGGAAGCGACAGAGGCCGUCGCAGGGCCCGCCCCGCUCCAUCACGCCCACCCUUGCCUGGAUGCGUCAGCUAGAGGAAAGUUACACUACAAGCCCAGCCGUUGCCCACGCUGGCUUGUGGUAAGUAUGAUAAGUUCUUCCAGGGCAUCCCGCGAACCGGUCCUUAACUGCCAUGGGUGCGACCAGCAAAACCAUGCACCCACAGCCCACCAUGUGAUUUAUUUUAAUUAACCAACACCAAAGCGGUGGCACUAAUCCAACAAUACCAUUAGAACCAACAGUCUAAACAUUAAUAGGAUUUUCCCCAUUGUGCACUAGUUGAACUAAGCAUGGCUAAGCAAUCCCUAGUCCAAUCUCUAGUCAUGUUAUAACCCCAAGCUGACAAAGGGACAUGGUACAACAAUAGCAUGGCUAUGACAAUAGGUAAACAUCCCAUAAUAACAUUAUAAAACGAUGCAGUAUUUGAAGACAAACAAUAGAGCAUUUGCAAUAUAGGAUCAACAUGUUCAAGUGGCAAGCAUGACUUGCCUUGCUCUGCUGCUGGAGGAACCUCGGCGACUAUUUCGAAGUACACCGGAGCAUCGGAAGAACUGGAAUCUAGCGACAUACAAGGCAAACAUUGCAAACAGGCUAUAAUACUACUGAAACAGAGAACAAAACCAUUUUUAAUGGAUUCUACACAUUUUUCUUGAUUUACUGAGACUUGAAUGGGCUUAAACGGAGCACGGAUGAAUUAGUUAUGAAUUUUAGAAGAUUCACUGUGUUUAUUACUAUAACAAAAAGUCCUUAAACCAUUUAUUGCGCAAUAAUUCCCAGGGCUGACGUCAUCAAGGGGGCACGGCGCCGACAUACGGGGCCCACCGGUCAGCGGCUCGGGAGAGAGGGAAAAGGGGCGCCGGCAAGCGGGCCCCACUAGGCAGCGGCUCAAAAAAGGGGGGGUGGUCCACCGUGGACCGGGACCACGCAGGUGGUCCACCGCCGGUCCACGGGACCGACGGCCCAGAUCACCCCCGGUGUUGAUCGGACGGGCGACGGCGACCCAGCUCGGCUCGGCUCAAGGCCGGCCGACCGCCCACGGCGAUGGCGACGGCACGCGCGCGCGAACGCGUUUCCAGCGACGGCAACCGGCGGCGGAGGCGACGGCGCAAAGGCGACGCGAAGGCGGCGGCGCUAAGCGGCGGCUAGGAAGGAAAGGGAGGGGAAUAGAGGGGAGAGGAAGCCUCACCGAGGGUGGCCGGCGCGGAGGAAGACGACAGCGAAGGGCGACGGCAAGCUACGGGAGGACGACGGCAACCGGCGGACGGGCUUCGGGGUGCCCGGAGCGCGAGGGGACGCGAAUUCUGGCGACGAAUCCCGGCGGAGGAAGGGCGGACGGGGUGGAGUUCGUCCUUGCGAACCCGACGGCGGCGACGGCGCGGUGCGGCGGCGAGCCUAGCGGCGGCUAGCGGCGGCCGGAGCGGCGGGAAAGGCGGCGGCGGGUGGGUGCACGGCGCGGGAGUGAUGGGGAGCACGAGGGAGUUCGGCGAAAUGGGAAAAAGGAGAGAGGGGACGACGGCGCAGCUUAAAUAGGUAGAGAGGGGGCCGGACAUGGCCGGGGGAGGCGGGAAUCACCGGCCAACGUGGGGGAGUGGGGGAGGAGAGAGAGGUGGGAUUCAAAAAUCGAAUCCCGGCCAUCUCGGGCGUGGGCGCCGGCGGGAGAGAGAGGGGAGUGGGCGCGGGAGGUGCGGCGCAUGCGCGGGUGUGGCCGACGUGGCCCGUAGGAGGCGGAGGUGUGGGCGCGGCGGCGGUUGCGGGCGCGGCGGCGCGGGCGCAAGGUAGGUGACGGGCCCGACAGGUGGGGCCCACCUGUCGGCGACCCGGGUGAGAGGAGGCGGGCGGCCGGCCAGCGCGGCCUAGCUGGGCCUUGGCCUUCGGCCGGCCCAGCGGGAGGAGAGGAGGAAGGAGAAUGGGCCGGCGGCCCACUCGAAAAGAAAAGGGGGAAAAAGAAAAAGAAAAAGGAAGAAAAGGAUUUUCCCUGGAAUUAAAAUAUUGCUUGCUCAAUUUUAAUUGGUUAAAAUUAUUUCUAGGGCUCUGAAAAUUCCACUAUAAAUCCUGUUAGUGACUUUCGACAUGUAGAACUCAAGAAAAAUUCCACAUGCCAGAUUCGAUUAUUAUUUGUAUUACUUUCUUAGGGUUUUCUCUUGAUUUGCACCGGCAUUUUCUUAGGGUCAUUUAUAAAUUAAAUUUUAGGCUUGGGAGGAGAACUGCAGGGUGUGACACUGGCCCCCGGAGAGGACUACCCAAGCCUCGAUCACUAGGGUAGUUCUUCCUUCACUCCGAAGGUGGUGAACUCUAAACCACUCACAAACCGGCGCCGGACCUCCUCCACAAUCUUCUCGGAAAGGUCACCGGGCAACUCCUCCACAAGCCGUCUAGGAGGCGGCAACCUCGAAGAGUAACAAGCAAUGACAUGGCGUGGAGAUGAUCAAUCAAGUGCCACACUAGCUCUACAAUGGAAGCAAUGCACUUGACUCUAGGCUAAUCAACCCUCUAACACACUAGAUGGAUGAACACAAAGCUCAAGUGGGUGUGAGAGAGGUGCAAGGGGUGUAUGUAAUUGAAUUGGGUGCCAAGAGAGUCCCCUUGCUGCUGGAGAGGGAGUAUUUAUACUCCAACCAACCAAAACUAGCCGUUGGGGGCGAAAUCCCCCAACUUUGUGCUCUGCCGGUCUGACCGGAGGUAUGUGGCCGGUCAGACCGUGCUACUCUACAACGGCUAGAAAACUAGCCAUUGUAGUGCUGUCAGAGGGCCCCAUCGGCCUGGCCAGUCAGACUGGUGUUGAGUAGGCGGUCAGACUGGCCUCGGCUCGGUCAGACCACCAUCAGCUCGGUCUGACCAACUACGGCUCCGUCGGCUCUGUAAAGGCCACCCCGAGCAGCACCAUCCCAGCCUCCAGGGGGACGGUCUGACCGGGCAUGUGCCGCCGGUCAGACCGGCCUUAUGGGCCGGUGAGACCGCCGUUGUGAGGCCGGUCAGACCGGCCAGGGCACGCCGGUCAGACCGCCACUAUGUGGCCGGUCUGACCGCCCAUGGUCAGGCCGAGCUCAGUGAAAGUUUUUGUGUGUGAUGAAAAUGUGAGCACAAGUGAAAAUGCAAUGACCUAAUGUGGCAAUUUAAUCAUCUCUUUGCUAGGUCAUUACCCCUCUUAAUAGUACGGCGAAACUAGAAAAUAAACUAGCAAAUUUGAUCGCCCUACACCUCGAUCAAUUCUAAAUUAAAGCACUAGUUUUAUCGUCUUGUUUCUCGUUGCUUUGCACCAUCUUAAUCCAUUGAUAGUCAUCCAUGCGCACACAUGACGUGGACCUAACUUAAAAUAUUAUCUCAAUAGCAACGGUUAGUCCACAAUUAGCGCUUGUCAUUAAAUACCAAAAUUAACAACGGGGGCCUAGAUGCUUCAAUCUCCCCCUUUUUGGUAAUCGAUGACAAACACCACAAAUAUAUAAAUAAUCAAACAUAGAACACAUGGACAUAUAUUGCAAUAACAAUCAAAAGCUCCCCCUAAACAUGUGCAUAUCAAACAUAAACAACAAAUAUGAAGCUAAUGCACAUUUCAAUAUCACAUUUCAACAUAUCACAAACACAAGAGCAAUAACUCAAUGUGAACUUCAAGAAAUAUUCAUCCAUAAGCAUAAGAUGGUCUCACAUAUAUAUCAAUAUCGCAUACACCAUCCAUCAUCGCACAAGUUCACAUCACUUAACCAUUCAAAUCACAAAAGUCGCAAAACAUCCUAAAAAGGGCUCACAGAUAAACAUAGGCUAUUACAAGACCACGAAGGGUGACGUAGAGAUUACAAAACAACAAACAACACACAAUAUAGAGUAAUAGCCCAUACCCGUACAAAAUAUAGCCCAAACCACCUUAACCUAUUAGAUAUGAGGGCACUAUCCUCACUACUACCACUAUUUUAAUAAAUGUUGAAAUGAUAUUUGUAUUAUCAAAAUUAGCAAUUAAGCUAUUUAAAUUCCAAGAAAAUUUCAACAAGUAUAAUUAAUAUAGAAAAUUUAAUAAAAGUUAAAUCCAACCAUAACAUUUUAUUUCUUACACUUACUUUACUUAUAAAUUAAUUUAAUUAGAUACCUAUCUACUUAAAAAAUACCAAAUAUUAGAAUUUAAUUAGAAUUUAAUAUGUUUUAAUUCAAUUUUAUCUGUUUUUUCUUUUCGUUGCAACGCAAGACCACUUUUGCUAUAAUUUAAAAGAGUGUAAUUAAUAUUGCAGAAAAUUUUAUAUUUCAUUAAAUUAUAAUUCAUUUUCUUCAUAAAAAUAGUUCAAAUCAAAUUUCAGUCACCAUAUCAUUACCCGGUGCAACGCACGGGCAUUUUUCUAGUGUGUCUAUAUAUAUAUAUAUAUAUAUAUAUAUAUAUAUAUAUAUAGGUAAAUUAAUUGGGGCUACAUAGGUAUCCUAUAUAUAUAUGUGUGUGUACGUAUAUAUAUGUAUAUGUAUAUAUGUACGUGUAUAUAUAUAUAUAUAUAUAUAUAUACAUAUAUAUAUGUACAUAUACAUAUAUGUAUGUACAUAUACAUAUAUGUAUAUGUAUAUAUAUAUAUAUAUAUAUGUAUAUAUAUAUAUAUAUGUAUAUAUAUGUAUAUGUAUAUAUAUAUAUAUGUAUAUGUAUAUAUAUAUAUAUAUGUAUAUGUAUAUAUAUAUAUAUAUGUAUAUGUAUAUAUAUAUAUAUGUAUAUGUAUAUAUAUAUAUAUGUAUAUGUAUAUAUAUACAUAUAUAUAUGUAUAUAUAUAGAUAUAUAUAUGUAUACAUAUAUAUAUAUAUAUAUAUACAUAUAUAUAUAUAUAUAUACAUAUAUAUAUAUAUAUAUACAUAUAUAUAUAUAUAUAUACAUAUAUAUAUAUAUAUAUGUACGUAUAUAUAUAUAUAUGUAUGUAUGUAUGUAUGUAUGUAUAUAUGUGUGUAUGUAUGUAUGUAUACAUAGAUACGGAGCCGCUACGCAGAGCGACACACAUGGUGCGCGCGCCAGCGAAGCCAAUGUGGCGCGACUCACACGAUUAGCUAAUUCAAUCAGGGCUGUUAGUUAAAAAGUAAUUUGAGUUGGGGCUCUGUCGCGCGCAACACGGACGAUUAGUUAAUGCGAUCUAAAUGCAGAUGGCCUGCCUCCAUCCCAAUCUACAAUAGUUGUUACAAAUUAACUUUCAGUUACAUAAACUCUAAUGCAAUUGUUCGAUCCCUGGCUAGUAUGAAGUAUGCAUCUAAAAGUCUGGUGAGUUAAAUAUUAACUUUGUAUUGAUGUGGCGUUGGUGACCGGUUGAAUCGUUAGCUUUUUUAAGAUAUACUCCCUCCUUCCCUAAAUGUUUGACACCGUUGAUUUUUUAAACAUGUUUGACCGUUCGUCUUAUUCAAAAACUUUUAUGAAAUGUAUAAAACUAUAUGUAUACAUAAAAGUAUAUUUAACAAUAAAUCAAAUGAUACAAAAGAAUUAAUAAUUACUUAAAUUUUUUGAAUAAGACGAACGGUCAAAUAUUUUUAAAAAAGUCAACGGCGUCAAACAUUCUGGGAUAGAGGGAGUAUAUCAGAUCGCUAAUGAUAUGAAUCAGAGACUCCCCUGAAGAUCCGCUGUAUAAAUGAUAGUCAGAUAUUAUUAAAAAAAUGAAAGAAAACGCUAAGACUCUUGUAAAAAAAAUCAGAGUUAAAAAAUAACUCCAAGACAUUAACGAAAAAAAAAGAUCAUAGCAUUGUCCUGUCCUUAUUUAAGUUAAAAAUUUGCUAGUACACGAUGUAUACGAUAAAAGUUAAAAUUUAACUAUACAUGCACAUCUGCGCAUUGUUACAAUAUUGGUCAACGAAUGGUUAUACUGAAUGAAUAAAAAUUUAACUAACGAAUAUGAAUCAGUGCGUGUGCGUUGGUUGCGGUGGGUUAGAGUGGGGGGAUAUGUGUGUCACGCGUCAUAUAUUGUGUGGGGCGCACAGCGCCAUGUAGUAGUUCUAUACAUAGAUAUAUAUAUACAUAUAUAUACAUACAUAAAUAUACAUAUGUGUAUAUAUACAUACAUAAAUAUAUAUAUGUAUAUAUAUAUAUAUAUAUAUAUAUAUAUAUAUUCUAUUAGCAUAUGUAUAUCAAAUUGAUUGAAUGAUGGUUGGAAUAGUAAAUAUGAUCUAAUAUCUUGAUUGUUGUUGUCCAAUUAACUACCUGAUUAAAUAGAUAGCAUUUAGAUGUGGUGGUGAUCAAUGGCAUUGUUUAAUUGGUGAGGAAGUGGAGGGGACUUUUAUCUAAAGGCUAGUCCUGAAAAGACUUGUCGAUCCUACGGUUGAAACUAUUUUUAUGACGUGGCUCAACAUGGUGCCUGUUUGUGGUCACACUUAUAUCUUAACUAAUUAAAAGAUUUGUAUUUUUCCUUUAGUCAUAAUCUUUUGUCCGUAACUUUUCGUCCGUCAUAUGCCUCUAAUUUUUCACCAAUAUGAUUUUUUUUGUCCGUAUCUGAUUUUUGAUUUGGUUAGAUCCAUCCACAAGCCCACAAGCCCAAAUUGCUUCCAGGAUUUUAGGUCCAUCUAUAAGCCCAUACACAGGAUUCUAAAUUGCUUUCAGGAUUCUAGAUCCAUCUACAAGCCCAUACUCCUUCCAGGUUCAUCCAGAUUUUAAGCCCAUGCUCCUUCUUGGUUCACCCAAACAAACGCAAUAGUUCAGGCAAUAGUUCAGGUUCACGCCAAAAAAAAAAGAUCGCAUAAAAAAAAGGCAAAAUCUAAAUCAAGAGGCUUCUCGUUUUAGUGCUAACGAGAGACCCUACCUAGAUGUCUUAACUGUAGCACUAUCCCCAUCAAGUAAAUAGAAAAUAUAUUACUAUCACUUAUGUUUUAAAUAAAAUUUUCUCUUAAACUAUUCAUCCGAUUUAUAAUCCGAUUACACGGUUGUGUUCAUAAGAAUUAAAUCUUUACAACAAGAUCUCACAUGAUUAUAUUUUGAUGAAAAAUUACAAAUUACUUUUAUAGUAUAUCUAAAUUACUUUUAGAUUUCACUAAAUUACUUUUUAGACAUAUAAAAGUAAUUUCAGUAAAGCUUUAAAGUAAUUUACAUAUAUUAUAGAAGUAACUUAAGACAAAAAGGAAAUAACUUUGUCAUAACAUUAAAAGUAGUUCCAUUAUGGAGAUAAAAACGUGAGUCUAUCUAAAAAUUAAAUUUAAUCAGCACAAAAUAUGGAAUUGACUAAAAAAGAUAAUAAAAUAAACAACUCACAACAUUAUGAUUGUAUAAUAAGUAAUUUAAUCAAAUCGAAAAGUAAUUUAUAUAUAUGAUAAACUUACAUAUAUAAUAAAAGUAAUUUAUAACAUAUAUAUUUCUUUUAUCAAAAUAUAGUCAUGUAAGAUCUUGUUGUAAAGAUUUAAUUGCAAUGAACACAAUGAUGUAAUCGGAUUAUAAAUCGGAUAAAUAAUUUAAAAGAAAAAUCUAUAAGAAGAAAAAAAAAUAUGUAUCAUUUGGUGUCCUAGUAUGCAACCAUGUGUAAGAUGAGUCUAUGGUUAAGACAAUAUAGAGUGCGGUCUCUAUGUAGUCAUGUCAAAAAAAAAAAAAAAAAAAAAAAAAAAAAAAAGAACGAUCGCAUAUACACAAAAACGAGGAGUCCAGGUUCACGCAAGAAAAAAGAUCGCGUACCAAAAAAAUAUCGCAUAUAUACACAAAAAAACACACGACUCCAGGUUCACACGCAAAAAAAUACCCCACACCGAUUCCUACUCCAGUUUGCCCAGCCCACGUCAGGAGUCAGAUUAUAUCCUGAUUCUAUGUCGAGUCAGAUUCUAUCCCACUAUUAAGAUCACAGGCAAUAUCUAUAUCUAUAUACCUACUUAAAAAAUACGUAAGGCUUCCGAUCGAUUUUUUUCAUCCGUUGUUUGUGUCCGAGUCUAUCUUAAAAAAAAAAUCCCAGAGCUAGAUCCCCACAGACAAAUUUAAAUUUAAUCAAACAGCAUUGGAGUGAAAAAAAAAAUCCAACUCGAUCAAUCGGCUAAUCGAGCCGAUUGCUCCCAAUCCCAUUGGCCCCAAUUCCCAAAACACAUGAAUCACAAAAUCACUCAAUUGCAAUCCCAAAUCAAAAUAAACAAUCUCCACUGUAUCAACAUCCCAAAUCAUAAAAUCCUCAGAAUAUUCACAAAUCAAAAAUCAAACUACAGCUAUACCGAGAGAACCACCGUUGGCUCCAUGUCGGGGAGGUGAGGGGCAGCUGGGGAGGGGGGCAGCUGCUGCCAACACACCGGGGAGGGAAGCAGCAGCCACCCGCCACGCUGGGGAGAGGGAGCAGCAGCCGCCAGAUCAGUCAUGGGAGGAGCUGCUAUCAACGUAUCCACCCUCGGCCAUCACAACUGCCGCCGGAUCCACACACGGUUGCCGCUACCGCCAUCGGAUCCGAUGCGGGAGGGAGGCGAGAGGGGGCGGAGGGAUCUGCCCGUGGCUGCCGCCGACGCCGCCAUCACCCUCAGAUCCGCCCGCGGCUACCGCCAACGUCGACGCCGCCGCCAACCCGCUGCCACCGCGGGAGGGAGAUGAGAGGGAGAGGAGGAGGGGGCGAGGGAGGCGAGACGGGACAGAGGGCGCCGCCACAGCCGCUCGUUGGGGGGAGGGUGCCGCCGCCGCUCGCGGGGAGCGGGUGCCUUGUCGCCGUCGCACUGCCAAAAAUCGCCGCCUUCGCCAUUUCAGCCUGAGGGAAUUGGGAGAGGAAAAACUGAAGCUCUGGUUAGGGUUUUUGAUGAGGACAUCAACACCAUCGAUACAUCCACGUCCCCCCAUGUACAGCAUGAUGGUCCUAUUACCCGCGCUCGUGCACGUCAACUAAAUUAUCAGGUGAGUUCUUUCUUGAGUUCAUAUUCCUCGUCUUUAUACCCCGGAGACGCGUGCACUCGUAUUUUACUCAGGAACGAUGGAGAGGAUCUAAAGGGAAGAGGAUUCGCGCGGGGUGGAUUCGGACUGCAGGGCAGCGCCAACUUCUGACGGCCGCCACGACUUCAUGCGAACUCCGAUUUGGGCGUGCAAGUACUUCAUGGAAAGCUUAUCAAGUCUACUUUCAAAUGGAUCCAGCCACAUGUCCAUAUCUGUUCUGGAGCGGCCGCAAUUGUCAUUUUACUCCCGACUAUUUUCUGUCCAUGGUGCUGCGUCACCUCUUUUGGCCCAAUGGGCUGUGUAUCCAAGUUGGGCCCAUUAGGGGCGCAUCCUAGGGUUGGAGCACGACCCUAUGGUCGUUCUUCCCCUCUUUUUAUACCUCUAGUCGCCGCCAAGAACAGGCGGGUUUUGAUGAUAGAGAUAGCUUCUUGCUACCAGCUCGCAGCGCGCGUGUUGGCUAAACCGCCCGUCUGCCUGUAAUCGGAACCCCACCAUAUUGAGUUUGAUAGUGAAACUUUCAUCUUUAUCUAGCAAUUUCAGUGCUUGUCCUACUUGUUCUUGCUUGUUCUUCGAUUGCUUGCAGGACGAGUGCCCUCGUGGCCGGGUUGACGCGCACCACAAGUUCGCGGCGACCAUUGGAGACGGUGUGUCGGUUGCUAAGGCGCAGCGUCUUUGGACAGUUGUAGUCGGGCCGUGAACGUCGUCUUCAUCUAAUCGAGUUAUCCCUUACCUCUCAUGGAAAGAUCGGGCCACAAACCCUAGCGGGUUCGCAUCAGGUGGUAUCAGAGCGUGGUUCAUCGGUGAGAGAAUUUACCCUUCCCUUCGUCAUUAAUUUUUUUUCCUAUAGCCCAGAAAAGACCAAAAAAAAAUAGUAGAUUAGUUUUCCCGUGAUCCUAUAGACCAUUGUGCCUUUUUACUAGUACUGCUUAGUUAAGGCUUGUUGAGUUUUUGAUUGCAUCGGUUGUGUUAAUUUGCUGGUCUUAGUGUUAAGCGAUUAGAGUUUCGAGUUCUUGCCACCACCGCACAUCGCCACCUUCAUCAAUUUUGCCGUCAUCACCACCGUCACCACCGUCGCAGUCACCCACUAAAUCACUUUCUAUUUGUGUUUGAUUUGCUGCCGAUAGCUUUUGUGAGUUGCCUUGUAUCCUGCCGCCACUAGAAAGGAAAUAGAACCCUGAUUCGAGUGACCUUCCUUAAAACAGUCAUAUCUUUUUCAUACGGACUCGAAAUUAGGCUUAUAAUAUAUCCACGGACAUCUACAAAAAAAGUUACAUCCGAUUCUCCCUGGCAUUGCCGGGUUCGGCAAAUUUAAAAUCGCCAAAUUCCUCUUGCAAAAUUCUGUUUUUGUGGCGAGAAGCUUCGGGACCUAUUCGCAUAGAACUUUGAAAAAAAUUCUACAAGCUUCAUACUUUGUCCGUUUGAGAUAAGAUUUUCUGUGGUUGGUUCUAGUGUGCUCCUGGUUGUGAAAAAAAUAUCAAAAGAAAAAAAUAAAAAAAAAGUUGUGUCUCUCUCCUCAGCACUAGAGAGAGCAAGCAAAAAAAAAAAAAAGGAUCCAGCGAGCACACCCCACCAUUCCCCCUUUGUCACCACCUUCCACCACCGGUUCUUGUUUUCGUUGCUGUUUGGGUUUGUGUUUUGUGGCAUCCUUUGUGGUUAGGCUCGCGUCUCUACUUCAACUAGCCUAGGACCAGCACUGUACACUAUACCCUUGAGCGAUUAUUCAAUUUGCUUUGGCUAACGUGGUUUCUAGUUUUCUCUUGAGCAUUGCUUUCAGCCCACCAACAGCUCCACCACAAACCCGACUACAGCUUGACAGGUCUUGUUGCUACAGCACCGAUACACCUCGUUCCACGGUUGCUAACUUGUGGGUUGCUGUCCCCCUCCUGUGGGCAAGGUAAGAACUGGUAAGAGCUUGUGAGACAAGCUGCGAGUGAAGUGAGAAUGAGCGUCUUGCAAAAGCUACAUCCCAAUAGUUGUGUAGGGCUUACAUUACAUCCUCCAUUGUUUUGUUGUCCUUCAUUUCUAAACCAUGGCAGGUCUAGAGGAUAAAGAUGAGGAGGGUGCAUCUCAUUCCCCACGCACCAAAGGCAUCAUCCAAUACUUUACAAGGCAAGUGAAGCAGCACACAGAAGGACUUGAUACAGAUUUGCAGGUGACAAAUGAGAAGAUUGGACAAUUGGAGUCCACGCAGAUCUCCACCAACACUAAGCUUACAGGGCUGGAGACAGCGGUCGCCCGCAUUGACACUAGCCUUGCUGCUCUUGUGAGGCAUUUUGAUGCUCUCAAUGCUGGAGGCAAUGGUGGGGGUAAUGACGAUGACAUUGACGGAGAGUACGUCGAGGAUAAUUUGGAGGAUGAAUAUAUUGCUGACACUGAACAAGAUGAUCGAGAUGCUCGAGAUCGUCGACGGCUACACAACAAUCGACGAGGUAUGGGUGGUCGCCGCCGACGCGAGGUACGCAACAAUGAUGAUGCUUUUUCUAAAAUUAAAUUUAAAAUUCCUCCUUUUGAUGGAAAAUAUGAUCCUGAUGCGUACCUCUCUUGGGAGAUUGCUGUUGACCAAAAAUUUGCAUGCCAUGAGUUUCCUGAGAACACUAGAGUUAGAGCUGCUACGAGUGAGUUCACCGAUUUUGCUUCGGUUUGGUGGAUAGAACAUGGCAAGAAAAAUCCUAAUAACAUGCCACAAACUUGGGAUGCUUUGAAACGGGUCAUGCGGGCUAGAUUUGUUCCUUCUUACUAUGCACGUGACUUGCUGAAUAGGUUGCAACAAUUGAGACAGGGUGCGAAAAGUGUAGAGGAAUAUUAUCAGGAGUUACAAAUGGGCUUGCUUCGUUGUAAUUUAGAGGAAACUGAGGACGCUGCCAUGGCUAGAUUUUUGGGUGGGUUAAACCGCGAGAUUUAUGACAUCGUAGACUAUAAAGAUUACACUAAUAUGACCCGAUUGUUUCAUCUUGCUUGUAAGGCUAAAAGGGAAGUGCAGGGACGACGUGCUAGUGCCAAGGCUAAUUUUUCUGCUGGUAAAACUUCAUCAUGGCAGACACGCACCACUCCUCCGGCCGGCCGUACUACUUCUCCAUCUUCCACACCCACAACCAGUCGAGCAGCACCUCCUCCAUCUGGUGACAAGUCAGCGAUAAAGGCUGCUCAGCCAGCACCGAGUGCUUCUUCAAUGGCAUCCACAGGCCGAAUGAGAGAUGUUCAGUGCCACCGUUGCAAGGGCUUUGGGCAUGUGCAGCGUGACUGCCCUAGCAAGCGAGUUUUGGUAGUAAAAAACGAUGGUGAGUACUCCUCUGCUAGUGAUUUCGAUGAUGAUACACUUGCUUUGCUUGCGGCUGACCAUGCAGAUAAUGAGCCACCGGAAGAGCACAUUGGGGCUGCAUUUGCGGAUCACUAUGAGAGUCUCAUUGUGCAGCGUGUCCUUAGCGCACAAAUGGAGAAGGCGGAGCAAAAUCAGCGACACACGUUGUUCCAAACAAAGUGUGUCGUCAAAGAGCGUUGUUGCCGCAUGAUCAUUGAUGGAGGUAGCUGCAACAACUUGGCUAACAGCGAGAUGGUGGAGAAGCUUGCACUUAGCACCAAACCGCAUCCACAUCCAUACUACAUCCAAUGGCUGAACAACAGUGGUAAGGCGAAGGUAACAAAACUGGUGCACAUUAAUUUUGCAAUUGGAAAUUACCAUGAUGUUGUUGAAUGUGAUGUUGUGCCCAUGCAAGCUUGUAAUAUUCUGCUAGGUAGACCAUGGCAAUUUGAUAGGGAUUCUAUGCAUUAUGGUAGGUCAAACCAGUACUCUUUUCUGUACCAUGAUAAGAAAAUUGUGUUGCAUCCCAUGUCUCCUGAAGAUAUUUUGCGUGAUGAUGUUGCUAAGGCUGCCAAAUCCAAAUGUGAGAGUGAUAAAAAAGCCCAAUCUGAUGGCAAGAAACCUGAGACAAUCAAUUUGAAACCCAGAUGCUUACUUGCUACUAAAUCUGAUAUUAAUGAGUUGAUUGCAUCACCUUCAGUUGCCUAUGCUUUGGUAUGCAAAGAUGCUUUGAUUUCACUUCACGAUAUGCAGCAUUCUUUGGCCCCUGCUGUUGCUAACAUUUUGCAGGAGUACUCUGAUGUGUUUCCCAAGGAAGUGCCACCGGGGCUGCCACCGGUGCGCGGCAUUCAGCAUCAAAUCGACUUGAUCCCAGGUGCUUCCCUACCGAAUCGUGCGCCAUACCGAACCAACCCUGAGGAAACCAAGGAGAUUCAGCGUCAAGUUCAUGAGUUGCUUGAUAAAGGGUAUGUACGCGAGUCUCUUAGUCCAUGUGCGGUUCCGGUAAUUUUGGUACCAAAGAAAGAUGGUUCAUGGCGUAUGUGUGUUGAUUGUAGAGCUAUUAAUAACAUUACCAUUCGAUAUCGUCAUCCUAUUCCUAGGUUAGAUGAUAUGCUUGAUGAAUUGAGUGGCUCUAUUGUGUUCUCCAAAGUUGAUUUGCGUAGUGGUUACCACCAGAUUCGUAUGAAGUUGGGUGAUGAAUGGAAAACAGCAUUUAAAACAAAGUUUGGGUUGUAUGAGUGGUUAGUGAUGCCUUUUGGUUUAACUAAUGCACCCAGCACUUUCAUGAGGUUGAUGAAUGAGGUUUUGCGUCCUUUCAUUGGAAAAUUUGUGGUGGUCUACUUUGAUGAUAUCUUGAUUUACAGCAAGUCUAUGGGUGAACAUUUUAAUCAUUUACGUGCUGUUUUUAAUGCUCUUCGUGAUGCACGUUUAUUUGGUAACCUUGAGAAGUGCACCUUUUGCACAGAUCGAGUUUCUUUUCUUGGCUAUGUUGUAACUCCGCAGGGGAUUGAGGUUGAUCAAGCCAAGGUUGAGGCAAUUCAGAGUUGGCCGACUCCUAAAACGGUCUCACAAGUGCGGAGCUUUCUAGGACUCGCGGGGUUCUAUCGCCGCUUUGUGCAGGAUUUCAGCACCAUUGCUGCACCAUUGAAUGCGCUUCAAAGAAGGGAGUGCCUUUCACUUGGGGCACAUCACAAGAGAACGCCUUCCACAUGUUGAAAGAUAAGUUGACUCAUGCACCUCUCCUCCAACUUCCCGAUUUUAAUAAGACUUUUGAACUUGAAUGUGAUGCUAGUGGGAUUGGAUUGGGUGGUGUUUUGCUACAAGAAGGAAAACCUGUUGCAUAUUUUAGUGAAAAGUUGAGUGGGCCUGUUCUGAAUUAUUCUACUUAUGAUAAGGAAUUGUAUGCUCUUGUGCGAACUUUAGAAACAUGGCAGCAUUAUUUGUGGCCCAAGGAAUUUGUCAUACAUUCUGAUCAUGAGUCUUUGAAGCAUAUUCGUAGUCAAGGGAAGCUGAACCGUAGACAUGCUAAAUGGGUUGAAUUUAUUGAAUCUUUUCCUUAUGUUAUCAAACACAAGAAAGGGAAGGAGAACAUCAUUGCUGAUGCUUUGUCUAGGAGAUACACUUUGUUGACACAACUUGACUACAAGAUUUUUGGCCUGGAAACAAUCAAAGACCAAUAUGCGCAUGAUGCUGAUUUUAAUGAUGUGUUGCUGCAUUGUAAGGAUGGAAGAACAUGGAACAAAUUCGUCAUCAAUGAUGGGUUUGUUUUCAGAGCUAACAAGCUAUGCAUUCCAGCUAGCUCCGUUCGCCUGUUGUUGUUGCAGGAAGCGCAUGGAGGCGGUUUGAUGGGACAUUUUGGCGCCAAGAAGACACAUGACAUCCUUGCUAGUCAUUUCUUUUGGCCACAGAUGCGAAGAGAUGUUGGCAGGUUCGUUGCUCGCUGCGCUACAUGUCAAAAGGCUAAGUCACGCUUACAUCCACAUGGUUUGUAUAUGCCUCUUCCUGUUCCUACUGUUCCUUGGGAAGAUAUUUCAAUGGACUUUGUGUUAGGAUUGCCUAGGACCAAGAGGGGGCGUGAUAGCAUUUUUGUGGUUGUGGAUAGAUUUUCUAAAAUGGCACAUUUCAUACCAUGUCAUAAAACUGAUGAUGCUUCUCAUAUCGCUGAUUUGUUCUUUCGAGAAAUUGUUCGCUUGCAUGGUGUGCCAAACACAAUUGUUUCUGAUCGUGACACAAAAUUUCUUAGCCAUUUUUGGAGAACUUUGUGGGCUAAAUUGGGGACUAAACUUUUGUUUUCUACUACUUGUCAUCCCCAAACUGAUGGACAAACUGAAGUGGUGAAUAGAACCUUGUCUACUAUGCUUAGGGCUGUUUUGAAGAAAAAUAUCAAGAUGUGGGAAGAAUGCUUGCCUCAUAUUGAAUUUGCUUAUAAUCGUUCCUUGCAUUCUACUACAAAAAUGUGCCCUUUUCAGAUUGUGUAUGGUUUGUUGCCUCGUGCUCCAAUUGAUUUGAUGCCUUUACCAUCUUCUGAAAAACUGAAUUUUGAUGCUAAGCAACGUGCUGAGUUGAUGUUAAAACUGCAUGAGACAACUAAAGAAAACAUAGAGCGCAUGAAUGCUAAGUAUAAGUUUGCUGGUGACAAAGGUAGAAGGGAAUUGAAUUUUGAACCUGGAGAUUUGGUUUGGUUGCAUUUGCGAAAAGAACGAUUUCCUGAUUUGAGAAAGUCUAAAUUGAUGCCUAGAGCUGAUGGACCAUUUAAAGUGUUAGCAAAGAUUAAUGAGAAUGCAUAUAAGAUUGAUUUGCCUGCAGAUUUCGGGGUUAGUUCCACAUUUAACGUUGCAGAUUUGAAGCCGUAUUUGGGAGAAGAAGAUGAGCUUGAGUCGAGGACGACUCAAAUGCAAGAAGGGGAGGAUGAUGAGGACAUCAACACCAUCGAUACAUCCACGUCCCCCCAUGUACAGCAUGAUGGUCCUAUUACCCGCGCUCGUGCACGUCAACUAAAUUAUCAGGUGAGUUCUUUCUUGAGUUCAUAUUCCUCGUCUUUAUACCCCGGAGACGCGUGCACUCGUAUUUUACUCAGGAACGAUGGAGAGGAUCCAAAGGGAAGAGGAUUCGCGCGGGGUGGAUUCGGACUGCAGGGUAGCGCCAACUUCUGACGGCCGCCACGACUUCAUGCAAACUCCGAUUUGGGCGUGCAAGUACUUCAUGGAAAGCUUAUCAAGUCUACUUUCAAAUGGAUCCAGCCACAUGUCCAUAUCUGUUCUGGAGCGGCCGCAAUUGUCAUUUUACUCCCGACUAUUUUCUGUCCAUGGUGUUGCGUCACCUCUUUUGGCCCAAUGGGCUGUGUAUCCAAGUUGGGCCCAUUAGGGGCGCGUCCUAGGGUUGGAGCACGACCCUAUGGUCGUUCUUCCCCUCUUUUUAUACCUCUAGUCGCCGCCAAGAACAGGCGGGUUUUGAUGUUAGAGAUAGCUUCUUGCUACCAGCUCGCAGCGCGCGUGUUGGCUAAACCGCCCGUCUGCCUGUAAUCGGAACCCCACCAUAUUGAGUUUGAUAGUGAAACUUUCAUCUUUAUCUAGCAAUUUCAGUGCUUGUCCUACUUGUUCUUGCUUGUUCUUCGAUUACUUGCAGGACGAGUGCCCUCGUGGCCGGGUUGACGCGCACCACAAGUUCGCGGCGACCAUUGGAGACGGUGUAUCGGUUGCUAAGGCGCAGCGUCUUUGGACAGUUGUAGUCGGGCCGUGAACGUCGUCUUCAUCUAAUCGAGUUAUCCCUUACCUCUCAUCGAAAGAUCGGGCCACAAACCGUAGCGGGUUCGCAUCAGUUUUGGUACCAGCUGUUUUGAUGGAUUUGAAACUGAUCCGAGCCAUCCAUCAAAAUGAGCGGCUCGGAUCAAUCCCGCAUUGGGCUGGCCUCCAUCUCUGGGAUGCAGCACUACUGGGCCGCAUGCAGCCCAUGAAGCACUAACGACGUGCGAUUGAGUUGUUGGGCCACAUUCGGUAUGGUUAGUCUUUUUCUUUUAAAAAAAAGCAACAAGUCCACUUUAGCUCUCUCAAUUAUAUCUCCUAUCUAAUUCAUAGGAAAAAACUAAAAAUAAAAAUUACCCAACAAAAUACAAUUACCCAACAAGAGGAAGUUAGUCUUUUUUUUAAUUGCUACAAAACCUUUGUUGAUGUUAAAUCUGGUAAACAAGAAAUAUAUUGUUUUCAACAUGUUGUUUAUUGGCAUAUUUAUAUCAAGAAUACCUUACUCAUAUCACAAAUUAAAUCCUAAAAAUAUUUAUUGUGAUUUUAGUUAAAAUUAUUCCGUUGCAACGCACUGUUGAAUAAUAAUUUAUUAUGAGCUACUAUAUUUCUCUCUAUUAUUUGAGACUUUUUCUAGUGAGCAAAAAAUACCAAAGCAGUGUGAAAAUAACUUCGGUUAAAAACAAAUAUUUUUAGUUUUAAUACACCGUAGCGAAGCAUCGGCAUUUUGCUAUAGAAAGUAUAGAUAUAAAAAGUUCGUGUUCAUCAACAAUCAUGCAAUCCUUUGUGUGGGACCCACCUGUCAUCCGGCCCAAACAAACCUUACACCAUCGGCUGACCACGUCGCACCUCCCUGAUCGCGCUCCCCCCUUCGCCCGCAUUCCCUCCCGAUUCCUCCCGCAACCCCCUCCCGUGUCGACGGUUCCUUCACCGCCGUCGGCCGCCGCUCAUGGAAUCCCGGUCGCCGCUCCCUUGUCUGCCUGCUCUCCCGCUCCCCCCUACCACCACUUCCCCCGCCGCCACUGCCUCCUCCGCCUCUUGUAGGAGUCGCUCGCCUCCUCCUCGCACGUGCCGGCCGGAGCUACACGCCCUACUCGCCUCCUCGCGCGCGCAUGCCGGACAACCGGGCGCCGCUGUCUACCCUCGCGCCUGAUCUGUCAGCACCGCCGCCGCGCGCCCGCCCGCCGGAGCCGCGGGCCGCAUCACCGUCGCUGCCUCCCGCCGGAGCCGCUCGCCUCGUGCGAUCCCGCCGCCGCAACUCCGCUCGCGCGCGGCUGCGCUCCCUCCGCCGCCGCCUCCCGCCGGAGCCGCUCGCCUCGUGCGAGCCCGCCGCCGCCCCUCCGCUCGCGCGCGUCUCGCCGCCGCCGCCUCCCGCUGGAGCCGCCCUACUUCCCGCCUCGCCGCCGUCGCCGGUCUCCUCCGUGCCGCACCCAAUCUCCGUCCCCGCCUGCCGCCGCCUCCUCCUCCUCCUCACACGCCCACACUACUCCACGGUGCUCCCUGCUUCUCUGCUCGCGCCGCUUUCAGGUCCGUCCGCCCUCGCCGCCUCGCGCCCUCGCCGAUUUGUUCCACCCGUCCCCGAUGGGUGCAGGUCCAUCGCCUGGUGCACUUUGUCAUCGGAGUUUAUUUCCAUCAUCCUGUUGCAGUUUAUCUCAAUCCUCAACUACGUCAUGUGCAGAUCCGGCUUCCUAGACAUCAUCCUUGAAAGCGACCUCGUGCAGGUUUGCCGAAUGCACUCCCGGCAUCCUCUCCCUCCUGUGCCAUUAUGUGCAAUUUUUGUGCUGCAUUUUGUGCUGAAUUGUGUGCUCGUAUUUAAAAGCACUUUGUAUGUAUGAUGCAUAUUUCCUAUGCUACUAAAUAUAAAUUUUAAUUGGUGUUACUAUUAUCUGACUAGAUGCCAAUACGUAUCGAUUACAUCAAAUACUGAGUUUGCAUCAAACAUUGGUGUGAUUACAUAAAAGAUAAUGCUAGACCAACGUCAAGUUGUUAAAUGACAACCUAAAGUUUGAUAGCUACGUACUGGUAUUGGACAUGCAGCUGAAUGAAACUGCAGGCACGCAACAUCAAGAUCGGAAUGAGCACUCUAACAGAAAGUGAAACCACUGAAAAUUAGCUUUUUCUUUUCUGGUCCUUCCUGCAUGGUAUUGGUCUGCUUGGAGGGACUCAAUUACUCAGAGCCAUUUUACAUGCUAUGAUUGUCUUUAUGAUUUUCAUGUGUUACCAAGAAUUGACGCUGCAAAAGUCUAUAUAUACAUGGCUGUGUCAUUUGGAAAUGAAAUUAAAGAUAUUCUUAGCAGGACUACUACUUUUAUCUGUUAUUUUAUUCAGAGUUCUAUAUUGGCAUCUUUUUCACGUUGAUGUUUGGUUUUAUUUGGCAGCAGUGCUUCAAGGGAGUUUAUUUGAUUCUGAUGACAAGAUCAGGAUCCUAGCUAGCAAUUUAGCCAGAUCAAAUUUAAGAUCUUUCCUUUCUGAGUUAAUAUUGCAAGCAGAGAUGCUACUUUACAAAGUUCAGCACGAACUUGUUAAUUUUCACUGCUGCAGGUUCUAUAUGGUGCUUCACUUAAUUUUUUUGGCAUGACUUUCAAUUCUGAUAUUGGUAUUGGUAAAGCUUGCCAUGACUCUGAAUUCAGAUGCACUUACUGUACAAAUAUGGACCUGCUCUCCAGUUGACCACUGCUUAUAUUUUGCAUCUUUAUGCAUUUACUGGACAAAUUUGGAUAUUUGUUCAGUUUGUUUAUGUGCAGUUCUAACGGAAGCUAAGAGGGCAAACGAAAAGGCUUAAUAGUUAUCAAUUCAGCUCCAUUUUCUGUAUGGUUUUCAGUUUUUCACAUGGAUUAUGCUCUGCUCUGUUUCAUUUAUGAAAGGAGCGUAACUCAGUUUACACUAAUCUCUUUAACUCGGUGUAUGCAUAUAUUUAUUCUAGCCUGCUAGAUAUAUAUUGCUAGCAUUCAGAAAGUAUCCACGGAAUGCUAUUAUUCAUCUAAAUAUAAUUGUUCAUGUGUUUUUAGGUGCUACUGGUUUAUCUCAUGAAAUGGUCUGAAUAACACUUGAUGUGUGGAAACAUCAAAGCGUGUUAUAUUUUUUUUUACUGAAAGUACUGCCAGGGCUUAGCCCAGCAGUGUGAUUUUCAUUUAUUGAAGGAAUAUUUUACAGGUAAUAUUUACAGGAAAAUACAAGAGAAAAUGAAAAAACUCUAUAAAGAUUGUAACCAAUUAACAAUAGUUUGCUUCAGGGGAUCCUUCAUUCUGCAGAGAUGCAGAAGAAUUUCAUCUGUAAAAAGAGACUUCCAAGAUUGGAAGGUUGGCUGCAAAUUCCUGAAGAUGAGGCCAUUUCGUUGUUUCCAGAUGUGCCAGGCAGCCACGAAGAAGAUUUCCAAAAAACCAGGCUCAUUGAACUGCCACCUUGUAAAAGCUAUCCUUUGGUAAAAUUCAAUAUUAGCAUUCCAUGAAAUUCCCAGAAACUGCCAACAAGCAGUGCUAAAUGGAUAGUUGAAGAUAAGAUGAUCUCUAGUUUCCCUUUGGUUAGUGCUGCACCGUACACAUGAUAGAUCGUCAUCUUCUUUGCAACAAUGUCUCCUAUCCAACAUAUCUCUUGUACUCAAUCUGUCCCAGAAGAAUAACCAAGCAAAGACUUUUAUUUUCAUUACACACUUGGUCUUCCAAAUCCAGAUCAGAGGUCUGUGUGCUUGAAUGGCAGCCAAAUUGAGUUUAUAGAAUCUUUUGGGGGUAAAACAACUGUUAUUCCAAAUGAAACUCCAUGAAUCUCCCCUUCCUUGUUCCAAGUGAAGAUGUGUUAGUUCAUCUUGAAGGUUGAGAUACUCACAAUAGGCUUGAUAAGAGAGUGGUAACUUGAAAGAAUCCUCCAAUGGCCUGGCACACAUAGCUUGUACAAAAUUGUUUUUGUAUAGAGAUGAAGCAUAAAGGUGUUGAUAUUGCUGACAUUUGAAUUGAUCAUUCCACAUAUGUCCAGAAUAGAACUGUAGUGCCUGUCCUUAUGUUGCAUUUGGCAAUUCCUCUAAAAACAUCAACAAGAGCAAUAAUGUUCUUUAACCAAAAGGAGCCUUUGUUUAUUAGAUGAAGGACUUUAGUUACCAGGUAAGAAUUAGCCACAAGAUUAACCCAAGGAAUAUCAGCUGCAGAGUAAACUUUAACAAGAUGUUUCAUAAGCAAGGCUGCAUUUUGGACUUUUAGAUUAACCACACCCAGCCCCCCCCCCCUUUCUUUUGGUGUACAAACUUUUUCCCAUGAGGCCAAAGAUUUUAUGGUGGAUUUAAGGUUGUUUCCUAUCCAAAGACAAUUCUUUCUCACAGUAUCAAUGGCCUUGAUAAUAGUGACGGGUAAUUGUAGGGAGCACAUGUAGUAUGUGGGUAUUGAUGAUAGGACAGAGUUUAUUAAAGUCAGUCUACCCCCUUGAGGUAAGAACAUUGAACUUGAUGUCAGCCUUCUUUCCACUCUAUCUACCAGGGGGGAAAAUCAAUCACUCUUUGCCCUGUAGUUCCCAGGGAGUCCCACAUAUGUGAAAGGCAGUUUUCCAACAGAACAUCCCAGAAAUCCUGCAAUUAGAUCUGGCUUUUCUUCAGAGAGAUUGAGGGGAUAAAGACUGGAUUUUGCAUAAUUAACUUUUAGGCCAAUCGAUUGAGCAAAUAUGUUCAGUAGUGCCUUGAAGCAGAAGAUUUCUUUUUUUGAAGCUUUUAACAGGAUCAAAGUGUCAUCAGCAAAUUGGAUGUUGGGGAACCCACUUCCAUCAUUUUCAUUGACUGGCUUUGAAAUUAAAUCAAGAUUAAAAGCCAUGUUUACUAUUCUUUGUAAGAGUUUAGCCCCUAGAACAAAAAGAAGUGGAGACAAAUGAUCUCCCUGCCUAACUCCUCUCUUGUAAUUAAAAGAGAUACCAGGAACCCCAUUCAACAGAACUACAGAGCUUGUCGAGGAGAAUACCAUUUGCAUCCAAUUAAGCCAUUUUUGUGGGAACCCCAUGCUUUGCAUUACAGAUAAGAUGGCCGUGUGUUCAAUUGUAUCAAAAGCUUUUUCAAUUGUCUUGAGGAUGAUUAUUUCUCUUUUUGACUGCUGACAUUGAUAAAUAUACUCAAAAGCCCAUGCUAAACAAUCCUGAAUGGCCCUUCCCUUAAUGAAUCCAUAUUGGUUUUCACUAACCACUUUGAGAAUGACACCUUGCAAUCUGUCAGCCAUCAAUUUUGUAAGAAACUUAAGACUCAAACCCAUUAGGGAAAUUGGUCUGAAAUCAUUAACUGUUUUUGGAGAAGGUUUUUUUGGCACAAGAGUGAUGUAAGAAUUAUUCAGGAUCUAUAAAUAUGUAGAUUCAGCAUGAAAAUGUGCCACAAGUCUAUAGAAGUCUUGUGCAAUGAUAUGCCAGCAUUUUUUCAUGAAAUAACCAUUGAAACCAUCUAGGCCAGGUGCCUUAUCUACUGGGAUCAUAGUGAUGAGAUUACCAAUUUCUUGUGUGGAGAACAUGUCAAUCAAACACUCCAAAUCUGUUCUAUGAAAAAAGCUCAUUCAAAUUAAAGUCCAUUGUUGGGGAGCAAGAGAUACCCAUCCUAUUCUUGAAACUUUGAUAGAACAAAUUUGCCUUUUGAUCAUGCAGGUAAACUAUCUGACCACUAUGAUUCAAAACUUGAGAAAUUGUGUUUAUUCUGUACCUUUCCUGUGGCAAUAGAUUGAAAGAACUUGGUGUUUUCUUCUCCCAGCAUCAUCCAUCUAUUAGUACAACAUUUUUUCCAAUAUAUUUUCCAGAAUUCUAGAAGUUUUAAGAUACGAUGUUUAACUACCUCCUUGAAAUUCCAUUCAAAUAAAGAAAGGUUUCUCUCUUCUACUAGAAGAUCAAGAAAAUCAAUUAUUUUAUUACAGUUACUCAAGAGGAGCAUGAUUCUGGACAAAUUCUUAGUCCAAAGCUUCAGUUUCUUCCUCAUAAUUUUCAAUUUGAAGGAGAUACAUUUUGCAGGAUCAUCAAAACCAGGAUCUAACAUCCAAACUUGCUGAACCACAUCAAAGAAACCCUCUGCUUCAACCCAGAAGUUUUAAAAUCUGAAAAUUGGAGACUUAGGGAUUUUUGUAUCAAUCUUUACCACACAUGGAACAUGGUCAGAGAUAUUCUUGGUCAGAGGGAGAACAGUUGUAUUGGGGAAGGUUAAAGUCCAGGAUGUAGAGGUGAAAACCCAAUCAAGCCUUUCCAGCAAAGGAUUUUGUUGCAUAUUGCUCCAGGUGAACCUUCUCCCUUUUAAUGGGAUUCCAAGCAAUCCUAGAGAACUAAUGAUCUCAUUGAAAAUAAAAUAUCAUUCAUAUCAGCUCCCACUUUAUUUCUAUCAUAAAUAGAUCUGUAGAAAUUAAAGUCCCCUAGGAAAAGCCAGUUCUGUUUAGCAUCAAUAUGGAUGUUUUUAAACCAGGUCACAAAAUCUGAUCUUUGAGGGCCAUUACAUGGCCCAUACACACAAGUCAAGGACCAAACUUGGGAGGUGAAUCUAGAAGUUAACUCCACAGUCACAGAGAAAGGGUUAACUUCUUUGGGUGUCCCAGUGAAAACUCUUGAUGCCCAAACAAUUAGAAUACCACCUGAUGCACCCAUGGAGGGGGCAAAAGCAAAAGAGGCAAAGCGCUUGGGGGCAAAUUUCUUGAUGUCAGAAAGCUCAAAGUUUUCCAUUUUCGUUUCUUGCAGACAUAAAACCUGGCAACCACUCCCUUCAAUAUUCUGCCUUAAAGACAGUAGCUUAUUUUCGGCAUUCAUUCCUCUGAUGUUCCAGCACAAGACAUUCCAAGAUUUAAAAUUACUAUUCAUUAUCACACCAUUGUGGGAGGGGCAAAAGUACCCAGGCUAGCACAGCUAACCGAAAAACAAACCAAAAGACAUUCACACAAGUCUUGGCAGUCUGACAGGACAAAUAUCUAAUAAAACAACUUUGACAGUAAACAAAUUACAGACCCUUGGAGCAUGAUAAAUGGAAAACAUAGGCCUAUCAACAAGACUGAAUCUUUCGUCAUUAUUUAUCCUCCAUGUUUGGCCUGGGGAUCUUCUGUCUUCUUUCACCCCCCAGGCUGGAUUCUGCCACCUCUUUAGGAGAGAGCCUGCACAUGUCUACCCCCAUCUUUUGUAUGACCGAAAGUGAACAAUUAGAGGGAGAGGAGUCAGAGUUCAUAUCACUAUAAGAAGUUUCAUUGAAAUCAGACUCCUGCAUACUACUAUUAAUAAAGAGUUUUGCAAUACCUGCUAAUUCCUUAAGCUUUUUAGCAGACCUGCCCCUUGGCUUCCCAAUGCCCAUUCUUGGAUCCAUCUGCAAUUCUUUGGUUGCCAUGUCCUGCAGAAGUCUAGAGCUUUGUCUUCUGUAAGGACUGUAAAGAAUGGUCUUCCCAUCUUUUCUUCUUUACCGGUGCCUUGGGGGGAAGCAGGGCAAUAGGGGCCACACUGAUUGGGCUAGAAGGGGGCCUCACACUGAUUGGUAGAACAUCCUCAAUCACCCUUUCCGGCAGAGGAGGGGAAUUAGACUCGAAAGGCAGUAAAGCCCAUUCAGGUUCAUGUUGGCCCACUGAGGGAGAGGAAUCAAAGAUGUACUUCCUUGGCAGGACCAAUGUCGAGAAAGGAUUGGCCAUUCUCAAAGCAGCAGGGAUAGGCUUGUCCUGGAUCAAAGUCUGCAUGAUGCCCUUUGCUUUACAGAGAAAGUCAAUCUUGUCCAAUAUGCCUUUCAUUUGAUAAAAGUAGGGGUGCCUUGGAGUUUCAUCUCUAGCAAUUCUGUUCAGCUGAGCUAAGAAUUCCUAGACUUGUGGGUCUAGAAUAGGAUCCUAGACGGUUGCCUUCCUAGCUGAUCAGAGAGGUGUGGCCAUCUGUUGAGGCAGAAUAAGUUGACCAAGGUUUUCUUCAAUUUGCCCCAUCAGAUGGUCUUGGCCCCAGGCAUCCUCUUGCUGUUCAUUUGCAGCCUAAUGUUGCUGCACUGCCUCAUCCCAACCUCUAGCCCCCUGGUUCCUAGGGUUGCCAAACUGCCAAACAUUACCAUCAUUAGGGUCCUCAUCAGCUGCAUCAUCAGGGCCCGGCUGCGGACCGGCAGGGGGGAGAUCCUCUUCAGGGGGGAAAUUAAUAAAAUCCCCCUGUAGCAUGAAAAUCGAGAUUGUCCAAGAUUCACCCCCACCCCCAGCACCAAGAGGAUCAAAGAGAACAAUCUUUCUCAGCACAAAAUCCUGGUCCCUGUACUUUGCCCUAACAAAAACCCUUCCCAACAUUCUGUCUGCAUCCGCCCAAAAGGUUAACAGACCAAAAGAGGUAACUGCCAGGUGCACAUGAUGGCGAUCAAUGAAAUCAAGCGGAAAAUCUAGGAACAUGAACCAGCCCUCUCUAUGGUAGUUAGCCGCCCUCCAAUUAGGACCUUGGUCAUGAUUAACAAAAGUAACAGAGUGAACCCCAUCAUAGAACUCGGGCGGAGAGAGGACCAGAGCAUCCCUAUUCAUAGCAGACUUCAUCUGGAAGAAACCUACUGUAGACGGGUGCUGGAAGCUAUUACGAACCUCAUAGUGUAGCUCAUCUUGUACAAAGUUGGCAAUGAGGGCACGAUGAUGAUCCCAGUCCUGCUCCAAGGGGAUUGGCUCUACAAUGGCCACAUAGAAGUCUUCAUGGCGCCGAGCAUGGUGCUGCAGGAUAGUGAGGUCGACCCGCGGGAUACGGAAGUCACCCCCAACAUUCACAGCGUGACCCUGCCUUAGGAAGCGCUGCGGAUUAUGGUUAAGAUUGGCCAUUGGGAGCAAAGGGAAGCUUUGGGUGGGAAGCACUGUGUGUUUGGGAGAAGAAUGGUUUUAGGAGGAAGAAGGCGAGAUUUCCAGAGUAUUAGUUUUGGCCUUCCAAACAGUAGUAGUCCGAGCCGACGGUUCAGCUUUUUAGGGUGUUGGGCUUUUGUGGGCUUAGUGGUCAAAUAGAAACGGGCUAAGUGACCCGGCAUGAGACAGGCCCGACAUCUAAGCGGCCCAGAACAAGAAACCCGAGAAUGGCCAUUUUCCAGGCAACGGCCGCAAGGAGUGUUUUCCAAAUUUGAAAUGGGCGACAAAUUAGGAUCCCGUGUACCUUUCGCAUGCGUAAUUAACUCCGUUGCCAGAAUAGACGACUACGCAGCGUCGGCCGCCUUGGAGGUCGCUAGAGAAGUGAUAAAAACUGUUUUCCUCUUAUCAAGCCGGUGGAAAACAGAAAUUCUUUGUUGGUCAGGCUUGGAGGCACGUAAGAAGGAGUCCUUUAGACUUGAAAAAACCUGCUUAAUCAGGAUAUCACGGUGCUGAACAACUUGAGCAUAAGAACGAUCCGGCCGUCUUAGGGAAGAGGUAGAUCGUUUCUUGGGAGCCACAAGCACCCAUUCCUUUUUCUGUUCCCGACUCCAAGAAUCAAAUUCCCACUACCAAUUCGGCCCCCUGUCUCCAAAGGAAGAAACGAAGAACAAAAUCGCCGCAAGUGUAAGAUUUAAGACGAUAAAUCCACAAACCCACUUGCUUCGAACAGACCACGAAGGAGUAAGAACGAUCCUUAAGAUGAGUGACCACAAGAUCGGCAGGAGAUCCACCAAUAGCAGUCCUAAGGGCCACAGCCACCGAAGAAGUAGUGAGACGAAAGCUAGCACGGGGAAGAUCCACAACUAACCGGAAAGGUGACGAACUGAAUUUCGAUGAGAAAUGGACCGGCGAAUAGAAGCGACGCCAAGCCUCUUCACGAAUAGCAUCACCAGGAGAGAAUUUCCAUCCUCCCGGCGGUGACGGCGUCACCAUGGACGAGAUCACCGGAGAUCGCCCAUACUCAUGCACCGAGAAAACUGGAGCGCUAGCAACCUGAGUAAACCGAGGGAGAUAGGGGUUGUGUUAUAUAUUAUCGGUUGUUCAUUUCACAAAAGUGUUUUUUGGAUUGCCCGCAAAAAGAGUUAUUUUUUUUAUUUCACAUUUCUACUAUAUAUAUAUAUCAUAAAGUUUCUCUUUUCUUUACUGUGCCUUCUAGGCAAACAUCGAUUCGCUGAAAGCUUCAGCAAAGGAGCACUUGAAGAAUAAGUGAUCGCCAUCUUUGUCUUGAUGCAAGCAGAUUUUGUAUUUUGCUGUUUCCACAAUGUUCUUCGUGGGAAAAUUUGUCUUUGUUGGUAGUCGAUUUUUGAAGAGAAAGCCAGGCAAAAGUUAUUGCACCCAGAGAGGGGUUGAAUUCUUCUAUACAAAUUCCCACAUUGGAAAAGGGGCAGAAGUAGAGGUAUUUUUCUGAUCAUAUAGGGCCUUUAAUGUGAGAGCUUGAGUUCAACCAGCAGCCGGACUGUACUAUUGUCUAUCUUGUCAUCGAGGUGCACUACAUUGGUGACAUCAGGUCAUGGUAGGUGAGAAACAAGUUUUGGCGCACGACACUACGUUGGUCAUAAGAAAUAAAACGCAAUAUGAGAGGAUCAUGCAACGGCCUGCUUUUCCAGUUUGCAGGAACUGUGGUGGUUUUAGGAUUUCUUGUUCUUUUGUGAAGUUUAGGGGUUGAGGAGACAACAAAGAAGAGGUAGAGUAUUUUGAGAUUUGGAUUUCAUUUAACGAUUUUUUUUCCUUUCACCUUUGUCUGUUCCUUUAUUUAACUUUAUUUCUUUGCAGUGGUGAGAUGAAUCUGUGUACUAGAGAUGCCUACUGUGUUGAUAUCUUGAGACAGUGCAGGUACAUCCAAAUACUCACUUCAUUAAUUCAAUAUAUGUAAAUUACUGGCUUAUUGAAUUUCAGUUUGAUUGCUAUGCAUUUAUAUCCUAUAGAAAUCCAUUUCUUUAUAUUGUAUUUUAAGGAACAAUGCAUUUUUUAUAGAUAUUUUUUUAGAAUCAGAACAACGAAAUACAAAAUCAGAUUGUACCUUCCAAGAGCAAAAUGCACUAAAUAGACAGUUCUUUGAGCUUUGCAAAUCGUAAUUGUAGCCAACAACAGUAAAAAAGUACAUUUCUAAUCUCUGGUAUAAAGGUAAAAUAAUACUAUCUAUGAUAAUAUGAGCUAAUAGCAUUUCCAAGACACAAUCAAAUAUUUCUAACUCAGAUACUUCAUAUAUUUAGUCCUUACUGAAUAGAAAAACUUAAAUAGAAAGAAUAGAGAAAGUAGAACUUGCGUUUUUGGGUGUUGGAAAUACUUUAGCAGCGGUAGCAUGUAAUGAUGUCAAAUCAAUGAAAUGGAUGUAACUUCGGACCUUUGGUAUUUCAGCUCGUUGAAAGGGAAACCAUGGUAAGUGGCUCUCCCAGUAUCGUGCUGUGGGAGUUGUUUUUCUAAAGUUGUUUUCACCACAGGGUUACUACUGAUUUUUUGAUAAAUGUUUUUUUAGAUACAUUAAGGUUAUUGCUGUUCAUGACUGUAUAUUACAAUUGUCACUGUUGUUGCUCUCCAAGCUGUUUGUAUAAUGUAUAAUCUUACACAUGCCAAGUGGUAUGUGAAUUGACUAAAGGAACAAUUUACCAGUAUGUGUUUGAUACUGUGCAAAAUACAAUUUUGAGUUGAAAUGAUUAAUGUUGGUUGCAUCUCAACCAUUUUUAUGUAAAUGGCCGCCUGUGCGAUUAGGGUCGAUCAGGCGAUUUGAAGACAUUGUAAUCUGGUCAAUUUUUUUUUUCAUACAAACAAAAUAAUUUAAUAAAGUGUUGGUACACAAUUUGGUUGUUUUGCAGCUUGUCUGUAACUCUCUAUUCCCAAAAAAGUGAGGUGUACGGUUCCAUUCGAGGUACAUGCACAUAUUUCAUUUCUUCUACUUAAAUAUACAAAAUACAUAAUACUAAAUGUGUCGUAUUAUAUACAUGUGCAUCCAUACGUUAGAGACGACCUACUAAAUGAUAUCAGAAUCCAGGUAGGACAGCCAAAUCAGAGCUGAAAAACACUACCUCAUCUCAGAUCCAUGAAUACCUCAAUAAUGCCAUCAGAUGUAGGACGGUCAAAUCAGAGCUAAAGGACGCUACCUCAUCUCAUGAAAGCGACUGGUCUGGAAGUGGACAUGAAAUCUAUCAUGACAAAUAAUUUACAUUUUUCCCAUUCCGUUGCUAUGUAAUAAAAUAACAAAUUAGGUUUAUUUCAUGAAUAACCAAUGCAAUAAUUAUAUUUUUACCGGUGCCUAUGAUGAUUCUUUAAUACUGUACCAGUAUAUGAUCAGCAAAGAUAUAUAUUACGAAAACGUGCCUUGCAUGUGCAUGUUCACUAGUUAUGAUUAAAUAGAUCACAAUGGUCAAGAGAACAGAACAGCAGCUUCUUUUCAGUAAAUGAGAGCUAAAGACUCUUUGAACUGGUGAUGGUCCCAUGGCUCCAAACAAUGACAGAAGAGCAAUGGAUUUUUUAAUUUUUUUUAAUGAAGAAAAUUGAGUUACUUAUUUAUGGCACAUUAUAAUAAUGCAUUUCCGAUUGAACAGGUUGCAGUACUGAACAUUUAUGCUAGUUGUUCAUCAUAUUGUAGAUGAAAAUUGCAGUUACUGAUCCACCAUAUAAUAACUGAACAUGAACUAUCACCACCAUAACAACCUGAAAUAAUUUUUUUUUUGGAAAUGUGAUAAAAAAACAUAAAAAAAAUAGAACAUCUGGAUUUUCUUUUCCCAAUUGGAAGAGUACCUGUGAUCAUCUUUACAUUUACACCAAGGUUAAGUGCCAUUCGAAUUGUUUAUGCACUUUCAUGCCUUGGAGGAUCAAAGAGUGGGCAUGCAGGAGAGCAACAAAGUGCCAAGCCUCACCAGGACUCUCUUUCCUUCCAUCUGGCACUUCCUAGUUCCUACAUGACAGGAAAAGGAGACUACAGUAAAAACACGAAUUAUAGGGAGCUCAUGAAUAAAUGAAAGCUUAAAGAAUAAAAAAGGAAAGAUCCCAGUAAAAGCAAUAACAGCACAUAAAUACUUAACAGUGAAUACCAAUUAUGUUUAGCUUUCAGACCAAAGUAUUUCCUUAUCAUUCAAGGUCAGACAGAAGAAUAUUUGAUCAGAGUAUAGACGCAUUCAUGACUUGAUUAGUGUUAGUACAUGAAAUUAUUGCUCAUAGUUGAGUUGUUCAGACCAGUCACAAAAAUAAUUCAGUGUUCAGACUUUCCUUUACUUGUUUACACCAGCAGGUUCUGAUUUCUGAAUAACCUAAUUUGCUAGAAAGGAAUUGUCUAGACAAUUUUGCUUUUCAUACCAUGUAAAUACUGCUUUCUGAUUUCAACAUAUAACAUAAUAAUCUGGCAGUGGAAAAUUGACCUUAAACAUUGGGGCAAGUUCUCUGCAGCAGAAGUUGCCUCCAUAGCCUCAACAACAGCCAUUUGUGAUGCAUUAUUGUUGUAGACCCCUGUUUUUAUAAUAGGAAUCUCUCGUGUUAAUAGUACAUUUCCCUAAAUCAAGUAGUCUAGUACUCAUGAUUACAUUGCUAGAAUAUCAAUUGCGCAUACAUAGAUUGUCUAGCGCGAAUUAUUACAUCAUAGGCCCGCAGGCAAUCUUAGAACAUAGGACCAAACGGUCCGGAAUACAUCCCAAAAGCAUAAAUAGAUAAGCAGUGGAAUCAAGGCAGCGGCGACGCCAUUGCCACAGGCAACGACCGUAACUAAGACCUACUAAGCGCCGCCAUCUUCUUCACCCUCCUGGUAGUAAGCAUAUGGGUCAUCCGAGACUUCAUCCUCUGCUUCUAAUGGAAUUUGUAAAUAGUAAGAGUGAGUACCAACCGUACUCAGCAAGCCACCACAACAACGAUGCAUAUGAUAGAGGAUAUUCAAUGAAGGGCAUGGUUUAUUUGCAUGAAGCCAAAUUUGCAAUUCUUUUCACAAGCCUAAGACCUAGCAUCAACUGAUCAAAUUUUAUCUCCAUAGUUCAUUAAACAGCGACGGUUCUGUCCACCAUCCAUUCUGUUCCCAAAGAUAGCUUCCCGCCACUGUCGUUAUGGUUUUCUGGGGUCUACCACUGGAUGUACACUUUACCCGUACUCCGCGACUGCCCAACACAUGAUCCUCGUCCCAACACAUCAGACGCAUCACGGCAAAGCCUUUCAAUAACCUCACAUUGGCAGUACCCGCUCCAUGAACUUAUAUUCUCAUGCACUCUAGGUGUCAUAAGUUUCUAGCAGUGAGAAGAGUUCUGGCGCUCCCGGGAAGGGAAAAACACACACAUUCCUUGUUGGAAAUUUGGUCAUAAUUCGGCAUAUUUUAAUCCAAAAUAACAAGAUAAUAAACAUGAUAUUUACAAUAGGAUUUGAUCCAGUGAUAGUGGUGAAUAUAAUCAACAUGAGCAUGCUUAACGUUGAAUAAGCAUCAACAAUCACAUAAUGACACAAUGUUGACAUUGCGAUGAACAUUAACAGUAAAACUUCUAAUUGAAAUAAUGUAAUAAGGUUAUACCCCAAGAAUGGUCCUCCGCUGGAGUUUGAGGCAGUAUUGCCUCCGUUGGUGUUGACGGGAGUCUCCUUCUCCUUGUCUCCAGUGUUCGACAUGUUGGUGAAGAUGAAGUAGAUGUUGACGAACAGUGAGUAGUCGCGCCUUGCGCUCCCUAGAAACCUGAUCGCCCGCCCGUCUGUGCAAACGUCGCAGCAACGCGUGGUUUCAGAGGCCUACUCUCCGAACGCGUGUGCACACACUCGUCGGGAUGGGAUUACCGUAGCAGCAACAGCUUUUUUAAAAUGGAUGAAAGUGUGUCUUCUUCUACUCGCGGGAGAUCAAAUCCAUUCUCGUUUUAUAAGAGAAAUGGAAGAUGAAGAGUAAGAGUCAUGGAAUAGGAAGAGGAAUGGAGCAACUAAUUGUCAUCAACUAGCCAUGAACCAUCCUCCACUACACAACCAUCAACCAACAAUCAAUUAAGAGUAAUUGAUGUAAGUUACCAAUGGAAUAGGAAGAGGAAUAGAGCAACUAAUUGUCAUCAACUAGCCAUGAACCAUCCUCCACUACACAACCAUCAACCAUCCAUCAAUUAGGACUAAUUGAUAUAAGUUACCAAUUCCUUAAUCAAAUGGAUUAAUUCUCAAAACUCUUCAUCCCAUUGAUAUCCCAUAGAAGAAUGAAUUCACAUGAAUUCCUAGCAUAAUGAGCCUUGGAAUUUAUUUGAUUUAAUUGAUUUAAAUGGAUUAAUUACCCAAUUAAAUCUAACAAUCCUCACCAAAUUUCAAGGCUCAUGAGAAUGCUCUCUAUUCCAUAGCAGCUUUUAUAUACCAGUGUUUCGGUGAAGACUGUUAAGUUGAACUUUCACCUAGAAAAGGAGCUACACCUGACCACAACUGAACAAUGGACUAUGCCUUGAAUUGUCAGUCUUGUGCAGUUAGGUUUCACUCAAUUCCAUAACUGAUACUAGGCAACCAUUAGUAUUCCCUCGGGUUGGAGCUUAUAAGUCAUACUCCAGGCCUUUCAUGAGUAUCUAGAGAUCACCCAAAUCUCAUAGACUGUGACUAGCAGUCGAACUCAUAUAGGUGUGUUCCUUCUAAAAUGUUCUGCAGGUCAACAUCUCUGCUUGGAAAAGCCACUCGGAUCACAUUAAGACAUAAGCCAUCCUACCAUGCAGGAAAGAAGAGAAGCACAUCAUGAAAAUGAGCCCUUUUCAAGGGUCUCUUCUCUCAGUCACACAAUAGUUUGUUUCACCAUCCAAAUUCACGGGAUCUCUGAUCAUAAUGGACAGGUUUCCACUAUUAUGCAACCUUAGGUGGGUAUCAAGCCCAUUUCCCUCGAUGCACUGUCUAUCACAUUACGUGGUAGCCCCUUGGUAGCCGUUUAGACAUAGUCCAAUGCUAUCACUCCGGAGUUUUUCUGCUUUCUGACAGAUUUCAGUCUUCUCUUGAUGUGUCUAGAUGACUUCAUGUUGUCCUUUGAACUAUUCACUUUAAUAAUCACUGUUUGAUUAUCGUAGUUCAUUAGGAUAGCUGGCACUGGUUUUUCAACCACCGGCAAAUCUAUCAGGAGUUCACGAAGCCACUCGGCCUCAACUGUCGCAGUAUCUAGUGCUGUAAGUUCUGCUUCCAUUGUUGACCUCGUUAAGAUGGUCUGCUUGCAAGACUUCCAGGAAACAGCGCCACCUCCAAGUGUGAACACAUAUCCACUUGUGGCUUUUACCUCAUCAGCAUCAGAUAUCCAGUUUGAGUCACUAUACCCUUCUAGUACUUUUGGAUACCCGGUAUAGUGAAUUCCAUAGCUCAUAGUACCCUUUAGAUAGCGCAUUACUCUUUCCAGAGCCUGCCAAUGAUCAUCUGCCGGAUUUGAGACAAACCGGCUCAGCUUGCUUACAGCAAAUGAGAUGUCAGGCCUCGUUGCGCUAGCCAAGUAUAUCAAUGAACCAAUGAUUUGAGAGUAUCUCAGCUGAUCCCUUGCUAUUCUUCGGUUUUUCCUUAAUAGCACGCUGGGAUCAUAAGGAGUAGGAGCUAGCUUGCAGUCACUAUAUCCAAAGCGACUCAAAACCUUGUCCACAUAGUGGGAUUGCACAAGUGUAAUCCCACCCUCAUCUCCUCUUUGUAGUUUGAUGUUAAGAAUAACAUCAGCCUCUCCCAAAUCCUUCAUUUCAAAACUCUUGGACAAAUAGUCUUUGACCUCCUCAAUCACAUUAAGGCUGGUCCCAAAGAUCAGUAUGUCAUCGACAUAUAAGCACAAGAUCACCCCUUCUCCCCCACCAUAGCGAUAGUAUACACAUUUGUCAGCUUCGUUCACAACAAAGCCUGCAGAUGUAAGCGUGGUGUCAAACUUCUCAUGCCAUUGCUUAGGUGCUUGCUUGAGGACAUACAAGGAUUUCAAUAGUUUACACACCAUUCCCUCCUGACCUUCUAGUACAUACCCGUCUGGUUGAUCCAUAUAGAUCUCCUCCUCCAGCUCUCCGUUUAGGAAAGCUGUCUUAACGUCCAUCUGAUGGACGAGAAGACCAUGAGAGGCUGCCAGAGCAAGUAGUACUCGAAUCGUGGUCAAGCGAGCAACUGGUGAGUAUGUGUCGAAGAAGUCCUCGCCUUCCUUUUGGGUAUAACCCUUGGCCACAAGCCUUGCCUUGUACUUUUCGAUUGUACCAUCAGGCCUAAGCUUUUUCUUGAAAACCCAUUUGCAUCCUACGGGCUUGCACCCAUAUGGACGCUCAACGACUUCCCAAGUACCAUUAGACAUAAUCGAGUCCAUUUCACUGCGUACUGCUUCCUUCCAGUAGUCAGCGUUAGGAGAUGAAUAUGCCUCUUCUAUGGUUCUUGGGGUGUCAUCCACGAGGUAUACAAUGUAGUCAUCUCCAAAGGAUUUUGCAACCCUUUGUCUCUUACUCUUGCGAGUAUCUACAAUGUUGUCCUCCUCAGGAUUAUCCUCAGGCGUUUGAUCAUUGUGUUCUAUCGGUGCAAAGUGCUCAUGGGGCAUGACAGUUUCUUUACUAGAAGUGCUAGGUGUAUAUUUCAUAGGAAAUUCAUUCUCAAAGAAUGUAGCAUCUCUGGACUCAAGAAUUCUACCAACAUACAUGUCGGGUACUCCAGAGUUUACUAUUAAGAAUCUAUAACCCACACUGUGGAUAGCAUAACCAAGAAACACACAAUCAACAGUUUUUGGUCCAAGUUUCCGCUUUUUGGCUAUAGGUACAUUUACCUUGGCCAAACAGCCCCAUGUUCGUAGGUAUGAGAGAUUUAAUUUCUUCCUUUCCCAUUCCUCGAAUGGUGUUACUUCCUUAUGCUUCAUUGGAAUUUUAUUCAGGACAUGACACGCAGUCAAAACUGCCUCACCCCACCAUUCCUUGGAAAGCCCCGCAGUGUCUAACAUGGCAUUCACCAUCUCAGUUAGAGUACGGUUCUUUCUUUCGGCCACCCCAUUUGAUUGGGGUGAAUAGGGAGGCGUCAUCUCAUGAAUAAUUCCAAACUCUUCGCAAAAGGAUGCAAACUCAUUGGAAAAAUACUCCCCACCUCUAUCAGACCUCAACCGUUUGAUUUUCCUUUCAAGUUGGUUUUCUACCUCAGCUUUAUAGAUUUUAAAGAAAUGCAAUGCCUCAUCCUUUGUUUUCAAUAGAUACACAUAGCAAAAUCUAGUGCAAUCAUCUAUCAGUGUCAUGAAAUAUUUCUUUCCCCCUUUAGUCAACACGCCGUUCAUUUCGCACAAAUCGGAAUGAACAAGUUCUAGAGGUGCCAAAUUCCUCGCCUCAGAUGCCUUGUGAGGCUUGCGAGGUUGUUUCGAUUGAACACAAGUAUGGCACUUGGAACCUUUUACCAAAGUGAAUUUUGGAAUUAAACUCAUGUUAGCUAAGCGCGUCAUACAACCGAAAUUCACAUGACAGAGUCGCGAAUGCCACACAUUAGACUCAUCAUUCUCGCUAAUAUGGUUCACAACAUUAUGAUUAUUACACAUGUCAUUCAAAGAAAAGCGGAACAAGCCUCCGCUGUCAUAACCUUUUCCAACAAAAGUCCCAUAUUUAGAUACGACACAUUUAUUGGACUCAAACACAAGUCUAAAACCUUCUCUACACAAUAGAGAGCCGCUAACUAGAUUCUUCUUUAUUGAAGGGACAUGCUGCACGUUCUUCAGCUGCACGGUCUUUCCCGAAGUAAACUUCAGAUCGACCGUACCAACACCAUGAACAGCCGCAAGCGACCCGUUUCCCAUCAUCAAAGAGGAACCUCUCCCGACCUGAUAAGAAGAAAAUAGAGAAAUGUCAGCACAUACAUGAAUAUUAGCACCAGUGUCCACCCACCAAUCAGGUGAAUGAAAAACAGAGAGAACUGUAGGUAAUAUUUUACCGUACCCCGAUGUUCCUCCGCCCUCGCUAAUGAUCAUGUUGGCAGACUUCCUGUCUUUGCGCUCAGGACAGUCCUUGGCCCAAUGCCCAGACUUGCCACACACAAAGCAGUCUCCCUUUGCCUUUCCCUUGCUUUUCUUCUUAAAAUUGGUUGCAGCCUUGGGUUUGACAUCAGGCUUGACUUUCUUGUUGUUGUGGGAUGCAUGAGGGUUCUUCUUCUGUACCAUAUUGGCACUAGAACCUCCCUCAACCUUUUUGCCCCGGACGUCCUUUGCCCUCGCCUUCUCCUCAACACCCAAAGAGCCAAUGAGAUCAGGAACACUGAACUCUUGUCUCUUGUGCUUUAGAGAAGUGGCAAAGUCCGACCAAGAAGGUGGUAGUUUGGCAAUAAUGCCACCUGCCACAAACUUGUCCGGCAACUCACAGUUGUUGUUCUCAAGUUCCUUAGCCAGCAUCUGAAUCUCAUGAGCUUGUUCAACUACAGAACGGUCAUCGACCAUCUUGUAGUCAUAGAACUGCUCCAUAACAUACAGCUCACUGCCGGCGUCAGAAACUCCGAACUUGGCCUCAAGUGCAUCCCACAUGUCCUUCCCAGAAGGCAUGUGCAUGUACACGUCCACUAUGUUGUCAGCGAGUACACUGAUCAAUGCUCCACGGAACAGGCAAUCCGAAGCCUCGAACUUAGCCUCUUCCUCAGGAGAAAGAGGUGGUUCACUUCGUUUGCCCCGUGAAACAUAGAAGCACUGCAUCGCUGUCAACCACAAUAGUGCACGUGCUUUCCAUCUCUUAUAGUUUGAACCAUCAAAAGCAUGUGGUUUCAGUGCAGCAGCAAAGCCAACUACCGAAAAUGACCUAUCAGGUUUCUGGAUUGUUGGAAAUUUGGUCAUAAUUCGGCAUAUUUUAAUCCAAAAUAACAAGAUAAUAAACAUGAUAUUUACAAUAGGAUUUGAUCCAGUGAUAGUGGUGAAUGUAAUCAACAUGAGCAUGCUUAACGUUGAAUAAGCAUCAACAAUCACAUAAUGACACAAUGUUGACAUUGUGAUGAACAUUAACAGUAAAAAUUCUAAUUGAAAUAAUGUAAUAAGGUUAUACCCCAAGAAUGGUCCUCCGCUGGAGUUUGAGGCAGUAUUGCCUCCGUUGGUGUUGACGGGAGUCUCCUUCUCCUUGUCUCCAGUGUUCGACAUGUUGGUGAAGAUGAAGUAGAUGUUGACGAACAGUGAGUAGUCGCGCCUUGCGCUCCCCAGAAACCUGAUCGCCCGCCCGUCUGUGCAAACGUCGCAGCAACGCGUGGUUUCGGAGGCCUACUCUCCCAACGCGUGUGCACACACUCGUCGGGAUGGGAUUACCGUAGCAGCAACAGCUUUUUAAAAUGGAUGAAAGUGUGUCUUCUUCUUCUCGCGGGAGAUCAAAUCCAUUCUCAUUUUAUAAGAGAAAUGGAAGAUGAAGAGUAAGAGUCAUGGAAUAGGAAGAGGAAUGGAGCAACUAAUUGUCAUCAACUAGCCAUGAACCAUCCUCCACUACACAACCAUCAACCAACAAUCAAUUAAGAGUAAUUGAUGUAAGUUACCAAUGGAAUAGGAAGAGGAAUAGAGCAACUAAUUGUCAUCAACUAGCCAUGAACCAUCCUCCACUACACAACCAUCAACCAUCCAUCAAUUAGGACUAAUUGAUAUAAGUUACCAAUUCCUUAAUCAAAUGGAUUAAUUCUCAAAACUCUUCAUCCCAUUGAUAUCCCAUAGAAGAAUGAAUUCACAUGAAUUCCUAGCAUAAUGAGCCUUGGAAUUUAUUUGAUUUAAUUGAUUUAAAUGGAUUAAUUACCCAAUUAAAUCUAACAUUCCUAACGUUGCUUCCUGUAGUUGAACCUAGUCCACAUCAGCUAUCUUCUCUUGGGUAUCUUCUUAUAGUCUUGUCAAGUCAGUCUCUGGCCAUCCUUACCGGUCAUCCGCCAGCCGACUGCUUGUCGCUUCACACACCUAAAAGAAACCACUAUGCAGGGGUACUACCUCCGCUCGGCUAUUUACUCCGCUAGGUCUAUACCCAUUCGAGAAGUACGGCUGUACGGGGGUCAUUUCAUGCUUAGCUUCAUGGCUCGGUCCUUAACUGACCAGGGACGGCACUAGCCUUUUCCGGACACCACCCAAGUCCUCCAGCCGCCCAGUCAAAAACAUUUGUUUAGUUUAAAUUUAUUUCAUAAAUCAUCUCAUCAAUAUCAUGGGAAUGUGGCGCUCAUGUCUCCACAUGCCGUAUGUCAAUUACCUUCCCAAGGCAAUUGCCCGAGCGUAAAGCAUUUUGAUAAAUAUGAAUAUGCAUGGAUCUCAAUUAGCAUGGGCUAAGCAUUUGUCAAAUUUGACUAAAGACGCACGAUAUCAUGGAUUACAAAGAUUAUAUGGAUAAUCAAUAUCAAAAGUAUGGCAUAAAACAAAGUAGGGCAUUCAUAUAUAAAUAGCAUGCAAACUUUCUUUAAAUCAAAAUAAGUCCGCAAUGUCCAAUAUGCUCAAAGAUUAGUGAUGACUUGCCUUGCUCACAGAUUUGCUGGCCCGGAUCUUCGAUUAACUCAGCAGCUUCUUCGGAAUCUAAAUUUACGUGCGAAUGAUUUGAUUUGAAUUCAAUCAGAAUUCAAAUAAAAUCACCAAAAAUUCAAACAGUACAAAUUAAAUUGAGAAAGUGGUCCUAUCAGAUAGAUCUUGAUUUUAGAUGAAUUUAGGUUCAAGUUUCAUUCAAAUCCGAGUUAAAAUGAGUGAGUUAUGCUAGUUUAUAAAGAUUCAAGUUGGAAUUAAUUCAACUAAUUGUGAAAGGGUACUGUGCGCACGUGAUUUAUUUUUCUUCUAACCUUAUCCAUAAGCUUCAGAGGCUGAAAGGUGGGUCCAUUCAUAUAUUUCUUUUCUCGGUUUUAUUUUCUAAUGGAAACAAGCUGUGUUAUUGGCAGGUGGGACCGGCCCUGUUGAUUAGGACCAACCGGCCCUUUUAAUCACAUGUGGGUCCCACUUGUCAUAGACAGUAAAAUUAAUAUUGGUUUUAAUUAGACUUAAUCAUCCGGACCCACGUGUCAUGGAUACAAAAUCUACAAUUAAAUUUUCUUAGAUUUUAAUAACAGGGACCCCACAUGUCAUUGAGUGGGCUAAUAACCGUUAGGUGGAGGAUUACUGUGCGCUAAUUACAUGUGGGUCCCACACGGUUUCUCUCUCUCUCUCGUUCUUUCCUUUUUCCCCAUCGUCUUCUACCUCCCGCAUGUGACGAGCAGAGGUGCGGCACACGCGCUCGGCACGGUCGGCCCGAGCCGGGACGGCGGCGAGCAGCUCGGCGACGUCCGGGGGAGGCGCGUAGGAGCUCCGGUGAUCUCCCGUCGGCGGCCACAGCGCAUGGCGACGCGGAGGCGAGCGGCGCGGCAUGGCCGCCAUGGCCGAGCUGGUGAGUGGCGAGGUCUCUAAUCAAUUGGUUUGGCGCACGAGCUUCUACGGCUUAUGUUGAUUCCGUUUUUGUAACAAGAUGGAAGGGAGAGCCUCCGAGAUAGCAUGUCCACGGGGAGCUCGCCGGCGGCGGAACGGCGGCCGGGCCGGCACGGCCAUAGGAGCUAAUCGCCAAAAUUGGAACAAGAGCUAGCUACUAGUGGAAUAGAGGACGCUACGGGCACGAGGGUGUACCGUGAGAAGGCGAGUCGGCGAAACGCGGUGUCGCGGUAGGGAGGCGGUAAGGAAGCAGAGGAUGCCGACGGCGGUGUAACAUCCUGAAAAUUCAAAACAAUAAAAAUCACUAAAAUUUUGAACUUUUUAAAACUUUUGCAUCAUGCUGGUUGUUAUGAUUGCUAAUGCUUGCCAAACCGUAAAUGAUCACAAAGAAAGUAAAGUAAGGAUCUAAAAUUUAAGUAAUAGAUAAAUUUACGAGAAUAUAAUAUUUAAUUGUUAACCCUACAAAUAAUUACGCACAAGAAAACAAAGCCAGACAAAUAGAAGGUUAAUUACUAAUUUAAAUUAUGGAUUAAUUACUAAAUACUUCAACCAUGUGUUGCGUGCCAUGACAUCUAAAUACACAUAAAAUGAUGACCAUUUAUAAUGGAACUCUAUCUAUAACAUAGUUUCACUAGGAGUAAUUAAUGGGAUAUUACUAAACUAUAAGGGUCUAUAUAGAGGUAAACCAAUUCACAUGAAAUAAUGGUCAUAUAAUUAAAUUAAGCUUUAUAAAAUUAUGUGAGGUUUUAAUUAAACAAUUAGAUUAAUAUUGUGCCGAGUCUCAAUUUACUAUUUAUAGAAUAAAUAGAUUGAACCUAUCCGUGUAAAAUAUGUUGCUAUACAACUAAACUCGACCAAUCUGCUAAUGUAUUAAUCAUGACAAGUUGUUAUAUUAAAUUUAAUAUUACCCCAAAGUCUACAAAAUAUAUAAGUUCACCUUAGGGUCAAAUAACUCAAAUUAAUCUAAAAAGAAUUCAUUUGCACAAUAAAUAAAUAAAUAUGGGUAAUAAUUUUGGAUAAAUUUUCAUGAGUAUUCAGUGCUUAAGUUUAGUUAACAUUUAUCUAAGUAAAUUUAGAGUUUAUAGGAUUAAAAUUGUAUAGGAGAUAGGCUAAAUAGGGGUUUAAUUAAGGAUAGCACUAUUCAUUGCACAUGAGGUGUUUGAUGGAGUUCCUAGCCACCCUAGCCCUCUUCCUCCCCACUGCCGCGCCGCUGCCUUGCACCGAACGCCGCCGCACGCCGUCGUGCCGCCGUCACCAUCACCGCCUCGAGUCCUGCCCGCGCCGCCGCGUCGCCGCGCGUCGCCUCGAGCCCCGCGUACGCCGCGCUGAGCCCCGCGCCGCUCGUGUCACCAUCGCCGUCGCCAGCGCCGCUGCCGCGCCGUCUUGUCACCUCCGUGCGCUGUCGCGCCGCGCGCCGUCCCAACGUCGCCACUGCCGCGUGUCGCCGACACCCACGAGCCCCGAGCCGCCGCGCGCCGUCGUGACGUCGCGUGUUGCUGUCGCAUCACCGCUCAUCUCGAGCCCCGCGCCGUCUCCGUUGCCGCGCCGUCUCCAUUCCACCGCGCGCCGUCGCGUCGUCUCGAGCCCCUCCCCUCCCCACGCGCUGUCGCCGUCGCCCCCGCGUCGCGCCCCGUGCCGCGCCGCCCCGCGCCCCACGCCCCUACCGCGCCGCGCGCGUCACUGUCACCCGUCGCCGUCGCCUCGCUCUACUGCACGCCAUGUCACCCGUCGCUGUCCCGUCGCCGUCACGCCCCACGCCGCCGUGCCGCGUCGCCGUCGUCAUUAAGCACUGCCCGCUCCCUCCACCUAUAUAAACCCCUCCCCCUUGCCGCCCAUUGCUUCCCACACCACCCUCACCACCUCCCGUCCCUUUCCCCUCUCUUUCCCGUCCCCGGCGUCGCCGCCUCUUUGGAAGCCGCCGCCGCCGCUGAGCCGACGCGCCCCGCCGCCGCGCUGUGCCUCGUCGCCGCGCCGUGCUCCGACGUCGACCCUGCCGUCGGUCCGGUGAGCCUUCCCCUCCCCCACCGCUUGACACCGUGCCGCGCCGCCCGCCGGUUCCAGCCGAGCCGCGGGAGGAAGCAGAGAGGUAGUAGAGAGAGAGAAAAGAGAAAGGAGAGGAGAUAUUAGAGUGGGCCCCACGUGUUUAGUGAAUAGUAAUCCCCUUCUUAAUCUUUAUUAAUUGAGUCUAUUACAUGUGGGUCCGGGUGGUUAAAAAUCUAAUUAUAGAGGUUUUAUAAUCCCGAGUCUAUGACAUGCGGGCCCUACCGGGUUUAAUGGCCGGUUUGACCCUAGUCAAAGGAAUCGGGCCCACCUGUCAUUUGCCGAUAUGAUUCCUUUAGAAAGAAAAAUAAAAUAAAAGAAAAGAAAAUAGGAAGACCCCACCUGUCAGUCACUAUAGCCUGUGGAUAAGGUUGUAUUAAAAAUAAAUGAAUUAGGAACAGUACCAUUUCGCAAUUAUUAGAAUUAAUUCAAAUUUGAAUCUUUACACUAGCAUAACUUAUUCAUUUUAGCUCCGAUUUAAGUGAAACUUGAACCUAAAUUCAUCUAAAUUCACAAGCUUUCCAAUCGUAUAUAAUUCACUAUUUAAUAAAAUAUAUUUAUAAUUAUUAAUAAUUAAUAUCAAGAUGAUGCAUAAUAGUUAACUUAAAAAUGUGCUAAUAAUAAAAUUGAUAUUGUACUGUAAAGUAGAUGUCAAAUAAUUGUCUUACUAUAAAACCUAUGUAAACUAACUAGGAGCAUUGUUUCAAAUUAAUUAAAGCAUAGGAAAUAUUAGUGCCAUUUAUUAGUCUAUGUCCAAAUAUAACUAAACCUAUGACUUAUAAAUUAUUUACAUAAGUUUAGCCUCAUACUUUGUAACUAAAAUAUAAACACACUUAGAUGAACCUUCAACUUGUCUAAGGAGAAUAAUAACUGAGCUAGUUGUAAUUGGACCACUUAAAAGUUAGUCGGUAUAAUGUCAUGUGAAGUGGAAUAUAUAUAGUUCGGUUGACAUCCAUUAGUUAACAAAACAGAGCCAUCUUAAUCACGUAUAUCGUAUAGCUUCUAGUAAAUAGCAACUAUUCAGUAAAUGAUCCAAUGAUUAAAUAUUGUUGCACACACAUACAUUGUACAUCCCAAUUUAGAUGUACGGUAUAUCAAAAACCUACCCUUUUGUGUAUAGUAAACUAAUGAGUCUAUGACAAACAUCUAUAGUGGAUAAAAUACUAAUUAUAAAUCUUGACCUAAUAUAAUUGUAAAUUAGGAUUAUUCAUUGUAAAAUUAUGUGAUGGGAUAGUCCGUAACCAUAAUAUGAUUAACCUAAACAAUUCUAACAUACAAAGCAUGGGUAAUUGUUAACCUUUAUAAUUUAUUUUGACAAGUAAAAUAUGUACAUAACUAAAAUAAAGCCUCCAUCAAUAAAAUAAUAAUACAAAUGAUUCACAGUAAUUAUUUGACCGAUCCAAAUCCAUCUGGCAACAGAACCUCUAGUGUAUAACCGUUCUAUUUAGAUAGAUGCAUGAAUAGCCAUUUGCUAGACUAAACCACAUAGUAGCCAGAUACGUAUCUCAUUCAUACCACAUUGGUUAGCUCCUAUAUAGACCACCAUGACAACAGAAAGAUUAAGAAACUUUAGCCCUUAGCAUGUUGGAAUCAAUUAGCAAGCGCGAAUAGUAUGAGCAACCUUAGGUUCAACCUCAACAAAUAUAUUUUGUUUGUGCAUGUUUGAUUGUUGCUUGAAUAUUGGUUUUUCUCGCGUAUUCUAGACUGUGUAUUGGUUAGUCGUGAGGCAAUGUAUGCAGCUUCCAGGAGGUGAAGGUUGAUCAAGAUUAUAUUAAGAAUAAGAACUAAUCUGAGCAGGCAAGUCAUCACUAUUCUUUGAACAUGUUGAUCCCAAUUGCGAAAUUAUUUUGUUUACAAAUAAAUUGCAUGCAAUGAUGAACAUCCUACUUGUGAUUAUGCCAUGCCUCGAUUAUUGUUUACCCCUUAUGCCUUCGUAACCAUGUGUACGUAUGAGUCCCUAGUCAAUUAUGACAAUUACUUAGAAAUGCUAUUCUAGAAUCAUACAUACUCAUAUUUAUCAAAUGCUAUAUGCUUGGGCAAUUACCUUUGGGAAGGUAAUUGAGAUGCGGCAUGUGGAGACAUGAGCGCCACAUUGCCAUGAUGUUGAUGACAUGAUUUGUGAAAGGAGAAAUAAAAUUAAACAACUGUUUUCGACUGGGGCGGACGGAGGAUUUGGGUGGUAUCCGGAAAAGGCUAGUACCAUCCCCGGUCAAUUAAGGACCGAGCCAUGAAUUUAAGCAUGAAACGACCCCCGUACAACCGCACUUCUCGUAUGGGUAUAGACCUAGCGAAAUAGAUAGCUGAGCGGAGGCAGUAUCCAUGCAUAGUGGUUUCUUGAUGUGUGAGGUAGGGGCUCUAUGGUGGGGCAGCCAUUGGUAGAACCGCGAGGCAGGUGUCUACAGUGGUGUCGCCAUCAGUAGGACUGCCAUGAGAGAAUUUAAACAUAAUUAUAACUUAAUGCAUGGGUGAGUCUUUCCUUCCCGGGUGCUCCAGAACUCCUCUCACUACUAGAAACCGUGUACGCCUAGAGUGUAUGAGGAUGUAAAGUUCAUGGAGCGGGUACUGCCAAUGCGAGGUUAUCGAAAAGCUUUGCCGUGACGCGUCUCAUGUGUUGGGACAAGGCUCAGGUGUUGGACAGUCGCGGAGUGUGGGUAAAGUGUACAUCCACUGCAGUGUGAGUAAACCAAAUCUAUUCGAAUAGCCGUGCUCGCGGUUAUUGAGCACCGGGACAUGUAUUACACUUGGCUAGACUCUAAAUUCUUAACCUGUGUGGGAUGGGAUAUUGCAUGAUGAUUUUUAUGCUGAUGGAGCCACCUCCUGAGAGGAGGGAAGGUGGACGUCCUCAGAAAAACAUGGCGACGCAAUGGCAGGAUGCUAUCCUUGGGAUCACAAUGGAUGGUGGACAGAACCGUCGUUGUUUAAUGUGAACACUGGUAUUAAAACUUGAUCAGUCUAUGCUAGGUCUCAGGCUUGUGAAAAGAUUUGCAAAAGCUUGCUUUACGCAAAAGAACCUGGAGCCCUUCCUUGAAAUACCCUCUAUCAUAUGCAUUGUUGUUGUGGUGGCUUGCUGAGUACGGUUGGUACUCACCCUUGCUAUUUAUAUAUCUUUUAGGAGAGUGUUGAAGAGAAGCCCUUGUCGGUACGCUUGCGUAUCCAACAAGAUGAUCGGAGUGCGGUCUGGUUCUAGGUCUCGUUCCCCAGUCGACUGCCUGUGGCAUGUUAACCGGGCCCUUAUAUUAUUUUGUCUUCCGCUGUUGUUCUCUGAUAGUUGUUGGCCUACCUAGCCCUAAUGUAAGUAUUUAACUCUUUUAGCCUGAAUUCAUUCAUGAUAUAUUGUGAUCCAACUAUGUAUGUGUGUACCAACUACUGAUCCAGGGAUUGGUACGGAUAAACACAGAAGAUUUCCGAUUUCCAAAAUCGGGGGUCUACAGGCGGCGAGCGUGCAGGUGUUCAACAGCAGGUCCUCCGGCUCCAGCGGCACCCGGCGUUGAUCCAAGGCAGCAGCAGCAGUAGAGGCGGCCCGAGUCACAGCUCCCGCGGUCAAGGCACUGUCUCCGGCUUCAACUCAUGGCAAUGGAGGAACGCAUACAAGGUGUUCGACGAAAUGUAUUUGAUAAAAAGGGCAGAGAGGGAUGGGGUUUUUAUGGGGGUUUGGCUUGGGGAUAAGCCAGAAUGGCAUGGAGGAUAAGGUCGAUGACAGGCGCGCUCGAUGGCUGUCUACGACCUAGGUUUAGGGAGGUUGACGCGGCUAAGCUUUCCUGCUCCUAUGAUUCGGGUUCAAUGAAUCGGCUUGGAAUGAUAGCCUAUAUGGUAGGGUGGCAGGGAAGGAAUCGAUAGCUGGGGAAGGAACACAGCAUUAUCCAAUGGUCUCAGCUAGGGGCGACGAGAUGGUGAUGCAAUGGCGACAUGAUUGGCAGCGACGGGCAGUGGUAAUGGCCUCUGAUAGGGAGGUGCAGGACUAUUUUCUAGGGUGACGCCGGGCGACGUGGCGUUCGUUAUCCCUCAACUUCGAUGGCGACUUGCUAUGGGACGAGGUGACACCAGCGCGCAUGGCGGCACAACUAUUUGUGGAAAUCCGGCGGCUCGAUCGGGUGACGGGGCCCACACGAGCGUGGCGCGAUGAGGCGCGGCGCAUGGUCAUGCUUGGUGCAGCGCACGGGCUGGGAAGGCGCGCGCGUGGCUCAGUAGCGAUCGGGGAGGAGCAGCGCUGGGUCGGGAAGAGUUCGGUCUAGGCUAGAUGUACCUAAUUAGCAAUGCGAUAUAUUUGUUUGCUUUUAACAGAAAAGCUUUCCAACGCUUUAAUUGUAUUGUCCGCUAACCAAAACAAAACAGUUUCUUUGCUUGAUGCUUACAUACAUCUGUCGAAGCAACCAUGGUUACCUUGCUUGUCUCCAAGCGGCGCGCCAUUGGUGCGCCCCAGGCUCUAGUGUAAUUCAAGAUCAGCGACGAUCAGGAUAGAGGGCGACUGCGUAGCUUCCGUUCGCUAAUGAAUUUUUUAGGACGCUUUGUGUAGUUGUGUUCGUAUUAACGAUAUCAGAGAUACGAUCGGCAACAACAUCAAAUACGGUAGACACAACGUAGAUUGCAUCGACUUUAAUGGUGGCCCACCGCAUUAAACCGAAUUAAUUAAAUUUUAAGAUCUACAAUGAUUGGAUUUAUUCAAUCAACGGCUAGAUUUUUCUAAUUAACGUGAGAGCUAGUAGAAAGUACCCAAUUAGUUGAUUGGCAACAACAUCAGAUACGGUAGACGCAAUGUAGAUUGCAUCGACUUUAAUGGUGGCCCACCGCAAUAAACCAAAUUAAUUAAAUUUUAGAGUAAAUUUUACAAAACUACAUGUAUUUUGCACAAUUUAUCACAAAACUAUAGAUUUAAGAGCUUAUUUCACAAAACUAUAGAUUUAUAGAUUUAUUGUCUUCGUUUAUUACAAAACUACACGUACUUUAUACAAUCUAUCACAAAACUACAUAUUUAAAAACUUGUUUCACAAAAAUAUAGAUUUAGUGUAUUCGUUUAUCACAGUGCUACACAUUUAGUGUCUUCAUU